AAACAAUCCAAUUUCUAAGACAAAAAUGACACAUUUUGGAGACUAAAAUCCAAGUUUUCUAUUCGUCAUCGCCGCUACUUUCAGAUAGUUCUUCCUCCUCGUUAUAGAGUACUGCGUCGACAUCUUCAUCGUUGUCACUUUCAUUCGACGGUUCACUGGGCAAAAUAUUGUCUGCGUCCUUGUCACCGCCCGCUUUAGCGAUCUGGAGCAAUGUUAAAGAUAAAAAACUAUAUGGUAUGCAAUCUUAAAAACAACAAAUUUAGCAUUACCUGUGCAGUAAUAAGCUGAAGAGAACCAGACAGCCGAGAGAGAGAACCAACAGAUAAAGAUUUGAACCUUGUCAUCUGCAACAUAUCAACAUGAAUGGUAGUUGAUGAUUUAUCAUGACAAAAUAUAUGCACUACUGAUACCAGGUGAUUUAUCAUGUAUUCAGUCAUUAUAAAAACACUUUAUGUUAUAACAACAAAAAUAAUACAGACAAUAUCAAGUUCAAAACUAACUAGAUAUUUCAUCAGGGAAAUUUCUCAAAUCUAUAGCUUCUUUAAAGUCGCUCUGAUUUUUAUGUAAAAUAUGAAAUAAUGGCGAUGGUUUAAAAAAAAAAAGAGAAAAUUUCAAGAACAAAUGACCCUCAGAGCUGAAACACAAGAACUGAAACAAAUUGAUCGCAAAGUUGCGAAGUUUUACCUUGUGCAAUCCCUCCAAAAUUUGUUUUGAUGCCUUUUGAGACAUGAUAGAAUAGUUGUGAUGAAUUAAAAUGUGGCAUAUCCAUGGAACAACCUUCUCCUCACUAACUGAUCUGUUCAAGCAAAAUAGCAAUUAUUUACUUCUGCACUAACUUUUAUCACUGUUGAAUUACAAUCAGAAUUCCAAAUGAUCAAUGGUUUUUCUAACAUGAAACUAAAUAAUACGGUAUCAUAACUAAACUAAAUAUCUUACACAUACAAAAAUAUUUAAAAAAUUUACAUUUUGAGCAACAUGUAAUUGUUAAAAAUUUGCUGAAACUUUUUUUUCAAAUGGUAGAUUGUUUUAUAUUUGAUUUUGACCCCGUCAUGUGAUUAAGGACUGAUUAUCAAAACAUUAUCAACAACAAAAUUCACAUACCUCAUUUUCCACAUUAUGACUAAUCCAGCAAAAAGCCUGAAGGCAUCCCCAUGGAACAACGACAACAAUGUUUCCCGAUUCUGAUAGAUAAUGUUCAACUUUCAUUAGAGCAUAACAAUGAUCGAGUAAAUAAAAGGUAUUUUUAGGAGAGACACAAUAAUACGAAACUUAUUCUGAUUUCUGAAGAAAAUAGGGCACAGUUAACUUACGAUCCUAGAAUCAACCCAUAAGCUAUAAUAGCACUUCUCAAGUGGUUUUAUGGUACUGAAGUUUGCAUUACAUCAUGAGUUCUGUUCAUGAUGGUUACCUACCCAUUUUAAAUUAACCUGGUGAUAUAGUAGAUGGGUUCUAGUGUCACUUGGAGGUUUUACCCUUCUAACGAAAUGAAAAUUCGUGUAUUUGCAAAAAAUAUGAUCCUAGUAAUCUAGAAUCAUUUGCUCGUAGUAUUUCACAAGCUACAAAAAUGUAUGGUUCAAUGAUAACAACAAAAUACAAAAGCACUAGUUUUAAAGAUCAACAAACCUUGUUUAUCUGUGGUGCAUUAGUACUAACGAACGAGCUUGCAUUCUUGAAAAUGGUAGGAUCAAAAUUAGCCGUAGAGAGAACUUGAACACAAUAUUCUGAACUGAUCAAAUCUUCUCUAGCAAGAAUUCCUGCUGAUUUCAAUUUCUCCUCCAAAUUUAUACUAACAUAUUGCUCUUCAAAUAUUCCAUGCACUACAUGAAUUCAGAUAAAAAUAAACAUAUACAUUUAAGAAAAAAACAUCUGAUAAGUUAGCUUGUGAUGAAAAAUAGUUUCUCAUUGUCAAAAUACUGUAUAAAAAUUUUAGGCAAAAAAAAUUCCACCUUUCCCCACAGAUUGAGUUUGGUUGCUUUCUUUCACAUCAGUCAACUCGUGAUCAAAAUCUGCUACAAUAUGUGACUUGCUGUGCUUUCUCUUCUUCGUACCUUUUUUAUUAUGUAUCAUUGUUGGAAGUGGGAUAGUGGCAUCUUCAGCAUUUGCAUGAUCUAGUACAGUCACUGUGAAAAAAUAGACAAAAAAAGGAAAGUUUAAAGUUCAAUGUAUAUCUAAAACUCUUAUUGAAAAAUUGAAGUUAUAGAUAUUGUAUGAAUGGUCAAUCUAAAAUAAGAAAAACUGAAAAAGAAAUUGAGGUUCAUGUACACAGCAAAGAAAGCUAUCAGAGAACGAUUCUUUGACUAAAAAAUAACCAUUUUACAGUUAGUGUCAUUAAUCGUACUUGAAAGUUGAAUAUGACAUUAAAUGUGAAUAUGCCUCACUGUCUCAUGAAAAAAAAAUGAAACAAACCUCGGGUUUUAGAUGCCUGAUCUUUGUUAGAGCCAUCAAGAUGGAUUUCUGGCAAGAAUGUACUUUCCUGAGAGCUACUUAUGUUCACAUCUAUCCCAUAUUGCACUGUCAAUUUUUCAAAAGAUGGUUUUACUAUUGAACCGCAUGCAACUAACACAACUCCAGAGGCUUGAUUCCCAAUGCUCUGAAUUUUUCCAGAGUAUAUUGUGGGCAUAUAUCCCUUGUUCCUCAACGUAGCAUGCAUAAAUGAAACAGAGAUCUUUGUUGCCUUACAAUUGCGCAUAUCUUCAAUACUUUUCCCAUGCCAAAAAUAACAAAGACCAAUCUCUGAUAUUGCUAGCACAUAUAAACCAGUAUCCUUGCUAUCCAUGCUUUCAGAACCCUUGCAGUUUAAAGAGACCGCUGGAUUUUCCAUUGGAAGGGGACAACAAGUGGAGUGGUUUGCACUCCUGUCUAUUUUCCAGAAUAAUACAAAUCUCUCACCAACACCAGAAGAGAGGAUAAAUUUUCCAUCCUCACUGAAGGUUACACAACGAACACCUACCUGUACAACAGUACAAUGAAUACAUUAGUAAACACACAAGUCACAUUGAUACAUACGAUUAGGAUUAAAAAAAAGUCCAAAUUCGACGAACUGUUCGGAUUCCAUUCGUUAAGAUUCGGGUUCGGUACUUUGGUUAGCUAAACGAAGCGAAUCCGAACCUCAAAUUAGAUUUGAUAAGUUAAACGAACUGAACCCAAACCUUGGUUGAGGUUUGACGAACAGUUUGGUUAGUUUAAUAUUUUUAUUAUUUUUAUUUAUACUAUAGACUAAAUAGUAAAUACUUAAUUUUAUAUUUUAUCCUAACUCUAUUGCAAUUUACCUACUAUUUUAUCUUAAUCUAUAUUAUAAACUAAUUCUAUAUUUUCAUAACUUAUAUAAAUAUUUUGCAAUUGAUCUUUUAUUAAGUAUAUAAUUAUAUAUUAGUUUUUUAAACGAACCGAACUUUAGGUAUAAUUAUAUAUUAGUUUGCUUCGUUUAACUUGACGAACAUUUAACGAACGAACCAAACCUAUUAAAUUUUAAACGAACCGAACCCGAACAGUUCAGCUAACUAAACAAACCAAACCCAAAUUUAGGCUCGUUUAGUUAGUUACACCGAACCGAAUACUUUGGUGUUCAGUUCGUUAGGCUCGAUUAACAUCCCUACAUAUGAUAAUAAAGAAAUCAAAAGAUAACAUAAUACAAUCAAUAUGAAAGUACAAACAUGAGAGAAAAUGGGAAACAAUAGAAAAUUGUACUCACUUUAUGACCAGUGAACUUUUGGAUUUUUUUAUUAUUUGAAUUGAAAACCUUCAGUUGAGCAGAUGCAAUGACAAACAUAUUUCCAUCUAGAACAGAAUGGUGAAGAUAAAUAAUCAAUAAGUAUUGAAUAACGAUAACAAAAGUUAGUGUAGGAAUCACUAUCGAUACAUUAAAAGUUAUACCCCUUACAAAUAACAAACUUCUACGUGAGAAACAGAGGAUAAUUGUCCACAAAAGGUAAAAAACAUCAUUUGCAUUUUGAUUUGUCGAUAAGAAAAACUAUCAUUUGCACAUGGAAGUGCAUGCUUAGCUGGCAUAUAAAAUCCUUGAAGUACAAUACAUAGACGAAGUUCUGAAAAUGAAAAGUAUUAUUACCUGGAGAGACUGCCAAUGAAGAUAUAGCCUUGGUGGAUGCUUGGAAAUUCCGUAACGAAACUCCAGUUUUUAAAUUAAUCUGGCAUACCAUACCAUCUAUGCCCGUGGUAUAUACAUGUGCAUCAUGUUCUGAGAAAGAAAUGGCGGUAACACCACUGGCAUAAGAAACAUAUAACUGAAUUCAGAGUUGGCGAAAAAUAAUAUAGAAGAAAUUGUUAUGAGAGUGCGGCAAAUUAAUGAGCUAAGUAUAGUUCUAGCUAAGGGAUGGUUUAGUCCAGUUCAAAAAUAAAAUGAGUGUUUAACUAAAUCAUAUGCAUAACACCUUAUCGUAUUUUAUACGACGGUGCACAAUGAUUUUAUAAUCAUAACACCAAAGUUAAAAGCUUAAAACGUAGAUAUUCUUAUCAUCUCAGAAUGGAAUGGUCAUUAAGUGACAAAAACUCACCCUGGAUGGCAAUCACUGAACUUCCACUUCAGCUGACCGGAAGAUACAUCCAAGGACAAUACAUCACCACCACCUGUACCCAACACCAACAGUAAAUGUCCUGACUUUCUUUUAUUCUGUACAAUAAAAAACACAACCCAUCAAGAAAUGACUAUUAAAAUCAGCACAUGAUAUUGAUUUAGGGUUCAUUUGAAUGAAAGAAAGAAAAUACCUUCUUUCCCAAAUGUGCCCAAUGCAUACAGGUGUAAUCAAGAGAAAGAUACUUGCUUUCAUGCUUUGAUUCCAUAAUACCACCACCAGCAUUAUCUGUUGACAAAUUCACAAACUCCAUCUGCAAACGCCCUGUCAACGUGUUCCAUAUCUAUGGAAAUAAAAGGAUUACAUAAUAACAUCAGUUAAAAAUGGGUUUUAUGAUACAAGAAAUUGUUACAAAAUAGAUAAGGAAACAGUGACCUUAACACGUCCGUCGCCUGAAGAAAUGGCGUAGAACUCCGAUGUAGGACUGAAGGAAGUGAGGAGAUCUUUGAUGUUCGAAGAUGCCAUUAUCCGUAAUGAUUAUAAAAACCUUAAUUAACACUGGUACAGGAUUUCAACAUUUAUAUGAUGAUCAGUAGUUCUUAGAGAGGAGAUGACCGGCGACUGGAGUUAAAGAUGGCGGCGGCGGCUGCUUAGAGUUGGAUGUUGGAGACGGAAAUACGAAUUAGGUUGGGAAGAAUUGGCCGUUGAGUUAUUUGGGUAUUGGGUUAUUUCUAUUUUUAUAUUUUAUGUUUUUAAUAAUUAGUAUAUAGGAUUAUAGUUAUAGGUUUAUAAUUUUAGGACAUUAUAAAAACAAAACCAGGGUGUUCAGGGCGGGUUUGGCUAAGGGGAAAAGAUAAACCGGGACAUAGGAGUGGUGAUACUGUAUUCGAGACUUGAUUACGACACCAGCAAUCAGAGAUUGAGAUAGCCCAGAAUAGAUGGUGAAUACCUGUAUAGGCAAUAGGAGGGGAGGCCCUAGUCGACUUUAUGAGAAAAUCGACCCCUGUAGGCCGACUUUUACAGAGUCGACUUCUAAGAAAGUCGAGGGAAAAAGUCGACUCUGAGGAAGUCGACCUGGAGCCAGAUCUGGGCAGUUAAGCAGUUAGAAUCCUAAUGACCAGAUUACCCCAUAAGGACCCUAUAAAUAGAGGUCACUCUCAUUCAUUAGGGUUAGGUUGAUUCGAGUGAGAGAGAACCCCUGUCAGAGUGAGCCUGAGCGACUGAGGUGUCCGAGCUAUUUCCGACGAAGUUUCUGGCCCAACGUUUGUUCGAAGCGUCGUCCGAGCACUAAUCGGGAACCACCCUUAUCAAUUGACGUCGUCUGUGGUUCAAAGAUACUCACAAAAAAGAAAAGUUGGUCGACUUUUUCGAGAAGUCACGGCCAAAUCAGCUUCUAACAACUCGCCCUCAGCCCCUCAACUCGACUUUCUCGGGAGGUUCGACUCCCAUGAUCGACUUUUGGACCAGCUCAGCUCGACUUCCUCGGGAGGAUCGACUUUCUACUAGCUCAGCUCGGCUUCCUCAGGAGGAUCGACUCCCAGGGUCGACUUUCCUGCUAGUUCAGCUCGACUUCCUCGGGAGGAUAUAUCGACUCCAGGGUCGACUUUCCUGCCAGAUAAGCUCGACUUCCUCGGGAGGAUAUAUCGACUCCCAAGAUCAACUUUCCUGCCAGAUAAGCUCGACUUCCUCGGGAGGAUAUAUCGACUCCCAAGAUCGACUUUCUGCUAGUCCGCACACAGGUCCCAGGGUCGACUUUUUGACAGUCGACUUUUUCUCAUGUCGACCUCUCCUCAAGUCGACCACUUUAGCUCGAUUUCCUCCCAGACCAACUUUUUCACAAAAAUGGUCACUAUAAGAAAUAACUCGCACGCAGGGGAAAGUACACCAAGAUCAGUCCAGCGGGAUGGUCAACCUGAAAAUCCUGGAGCUAAAAAGUUAUCGCCAAGACAAAGAAAAACACUGGGCCAACCAAAGGCUAAGGAGGAAAUCAAGAACAGGCACCACAUAUACCUAUUACUGUGGAAAACCAGAAUCCAUUGCAAAUAGUAGCCCAGACCAUUAUCCAAGCAUGGGGUCAGCAGCAGGAGGAACAACAACAACAAGUUCCCGAGCAACCCCAAAGGGUCCAAAACGUUAGAGACCCAACUUGUCCUACUAACAGUCAUCAUUCCAUGGUGUAAAUUUCGGUUGAAGAACUGGUAAGCAUGAAAGAAAUUAUAGCUCGAAUGGCAGAAAGACUAAAAGCAGUCGAGAACACGCACAUGACUCGCACAAUACAACAUUCGAGAGGUCAGACUUCAGCACGGUCUUCUGGACAAGUUUCAGAAAAACAAGAAAAACAGAAGGCUAGCUGUCACACUGCACAGUCAAAAUCCCUCCCACCGAAAAGUUAAGGGGGAGAAGUCAAAACCCAUAUCAAAUCCUAUAUUCCACACGGACCCACAAUAGAGGGAACCGGAGAUUCAUAAGAUACGAUAGCCAACCUUGUUCGAAGGCAUGGAACCCUUGGACAACUCGUUAAUGGUAAAACCUGCACCGCUAGGUUUCAGACUACCAAAGCUGCCAGAGUAUGAUGGGAAGCUAGACCCCAUAGACCAUAUUAAUAUGUUCAGGGGGGCAAUGCAAUGGGUGACAGAAAGAGAUGAUAUGUUAUGUACAGAUUUUCCAGAAACCUUGAGGGGGUCCACAUAUAGAUGGUUCGCAGAUUUACCAGCCAGAAGCAUUAUAAAUUUCUCUGACUUUAAAAAGAAAUUUCUGGCUCAACACUGUGGUAACGUAAGAGUUAAGAAGGGAACAUAUUCAUUAUUUUCAGUAAAACAGAAUAAUGACACCCUCAGAAAUUACACAAACAGGUUCACUGAGGCAAUGCAAAAGGUUUCCAACCUCAACACAACUAUCGCAAUUUAUGCAUACUCAAGGGGUUUGGACAUGAAUAGCCCUCUAGCAAUUGAGUUGAACAUAAAUACUGUAAAUUGCAUAGAGGAUUUAUCAGUCAAGGCUCUGAAAUACAAGAAUAUUUCAAAAAGAGAGUCAUCAUGGAAAUCAAGGCACGAUACAGAGUCUAUCAAACAGAAGAGGAAUCUAGAAAAUCAAAGUUCCAAAAGUUUAACGAUCCUUUUAACACCUCCCGGCAAGAGAUAUACGGUAGGGAAAAAGGAAGGAUGAGGUUCCCGGAACCCAUCCCCUUAGACCCUGCCACAAAAGAGGCACGUAUCAAAGGCCAGAGGUACUGUGAGUUCCACAAAGACUACAGACACGUGACCAAUACUUGUAGAGAGUUAGGUACCUUUUUGGAAACUCAGGCAAAAGCCGGGAAGUUAAAAGGAUAUGUGGCAGAGAUCCACGAGAAAACAAAGCAGGGUUGUAAACCCCCAAGGAACAAAGGGAAGCGAGAACGCUGAAUGAGUCCAUAUGACAACUCCAAUGAUAACCAAAAGAGGAGUGUCAUCAAUGUAAUCUUCGGAGGAGGGUUAGUAGGGCAAAGCAGAAGCUAUACAAGAAAAGUCCUACACACUACUACACAACCAGAGAGGAAUCAGAAGAAAAGAGCAAACCCACAGGAGGAUGUGUUGGCUUUUCGGAAGAGGAUCUGGAUAGUAUAGCAAACCCUCACGAAGAUCCGCUAGUAAUCCAGAUAGACAUAGAAGCAGAUCUAACUUUGACCAAAGUAAUGGUAGAUAAUGGAAGCUCAGUGGAUGUCUUGUAUCUGACAGCCUUUGAAAAAAUAGGGUUCAAAAAAGAACAACUGACACUAUCUAAAGAAGCAAUUUAUAGUUUCACAAACACUAAAGCCCCAGUAGUAUGAACAAUUGACUUAGAAAUAUCUUUGGGCGAGAGAAAAGGAAAAGUUUCUAGAACAACACACUUUAUUAUGGCAGAUAUUAACUCUCCGUUUAAUGGAAUCCUAAGAAGACCCAGUAUACACAGCUUCAAAGCAGUGCCCUCAUCCUAUCAUCAGACCUUCAGGUAUUUGAGGAAAGAUGGAAAAAUGACAACUGUAAAAGGAGCGCAAAGGGACUCAAGAGAUCCUAUAGAAAGGAAACAAAAAUGGCCAAACCACAACUUUGUUCAUCCGAGAAAGGGAGGACAAGGAGGAAAUGGCUCUGAUGGGCCAAAUUAAAGAGGUUGCAUUAGCAAGAGGAGGAAAAAAUUUAAUAGGUACGUCUAUUACCUUAGAAUUAAAAGUCUCCCUAGUAAAAUUAUUGAAUACUCAUGAGGUCUCGUUUGUAUGGGAGGAUAUAGCCCUGUCAAUCGAACGAAUUCGAACCGGAUACCCCUGUAUCCGAAUUCGAAUUCGAUUAGUAUCCAGAUAAUCCGAAUUCGUCCGAUUAGUAUUCGAAUUUUAAAUUCCGUAUCCGAAUUCGAAUUCGAUUAAAAAUAUCCGAAUCCGAAUUCGAUUCGAAUAACAUUUAUAAAAAACCCAAAAAUAAUAUUUUUUUUGUUAAAAAAACCGUGUAAUAUUAAAAAACACUGUAAUAUUAAAAAAACCUUAUAACCUAACAAUUUAACAUAUAAAAACCACAACAAAAAGAUUCACCAAGGAAUAACACCAUGGAAAUAUGUAAAACCAGUACAUGUACAUGGAAAUAACAACAAAAAGAUUCACAAGGCAAUAAUCACAACUUUAGAUAGUAGUUCACUAGUUCGUAAAAAAACAUAUAUUCAAAAUGAGUUGGAGUCAAGCAUAUAUACUACUCAGCGUGAGAAAAAAAAAAUCAAAGUGAGAUUCUCAUGCGUGAAAGGAAGAUGAAAGAAAAAUGAGAAAGCUUACCCGUUACUAAGAUGAGAAUAAGCAAACCCUAGCUACUCUUAAGAAAGGGGGGAAUGGGAAAUAUGAAAUAACAAAAUAAGAAUGGUUUAUUAGGGAUUUGAUAUUUUUAUUAUUUGAGAAUGAUUUAUUGUUGUUUAAUAUUUAUUGCUAAUAUGGUCUAAGAUAUUUAAUAUUUACAUAUAGAUUAUAUUACAAUAUUAUAUUAGAAAAGUUAAAAUUAUUAUAUAUUUAAUAUUUAUUCGAAUUCGGAUAAUUAUCGAAUUCGAUUAGAGGUAUCCGAAUUCGAUUAGUGUCGGAUAGUAUUUUCAGUAUCCGAAUUCGUAUCCGAAUUCGAUUAUCCGAAUUCGUAUCCGAAUUCGAUUAUCCGAAUUCGUUUAGGCCUAAACGAAUUCGAAAUCGAAUUCGAAUUCGGAUUUCGGAUAUCCAUUGACAGGCUUAGGGAGGAAGAGGCACCCUCACAUGUACAACGAACAAUAGCGUGCCAUAGUUAAACAUCGACCUUGGCUUCACUCCAGUUCGACAAAAGCGAAGGAUACUCGUAGCUGAAAGAAAGGAAGCAGCACGAACAGAAAUAGAGAAGUUGGUCAGCGCAAGGCACAUACGCGAGGUCAAGUACCCACAAUGGUUAGCCAACCCGAUGAUGGUGAAGAAAUCCAACGGGAAAUGGCGAAUGUGUGUGGAUUUCACUGACCUUAAUAAGGCAUGCUCGAGAGACAGUUAUUCGUUUCCCUCAAUUGACAGAUUGGUAUAUGAAGCUUUUGGAAAUAAACUACUAUUAAUGAUGGAUGCUCACUCAAGUUAUAACCAAAUACUCAUGAAAGAGGAGGAUGAGAAGGCUACAUCAUUUAUCACGGAAUGGGGGACUUUCUGCUAUAGGAUUAUGCCAUUCGGGCUACGAAAUGCAGGCGCAACCUUUCAAAAGCUCAUGGACAAGGUAUUCGAAGAGCAGGAGGGAAGAAACGUCUUGGCAUAUAUAUGUAGACGAUAUUUUGGUAAAAUCAAGGUACGCGAAGGAUCACCUAGAGGAUCUACGAGAAACGUUGGAAACCUGAAAAGGUACAGAAUGAAGCUUAAUCCGUCCAAAUGCAACUUUGGGGUUCAUGGAAAUUCUUAGGAUUCUAUGUGGGCCAGAAGGGAAUAAAACCUAACCCGGAGAAAGUAACGUACUGCAAUUUUGAAGUCUAAGUCACCACGAACUAUCAGGGAAGUACAAAAACUCAAUGGGAAGAUCAACGUCUUAAGAAGAUUUAUAUCCAAAGAGGCAGACAAGUGUAGACCCUUCUUCCAACUGCUAAAAAAAAGGUCAAAAGGGAGCGGUAACGUGGACUCCGGAAUGCGAACAUGCAUUCGAACAGUUAAAGAAACACUUGAUAUCGUUGCCACAUUUGGCCUCCCCUCAGACGGGUGAGGAUUUAUACGUUUAGUUGCAUCAGAAGAAGCAAUCAACGCGGUACUGAUUUGUCAGAGAGAUAGUGAACAGAUACCUAUCUAUUAUCACUCCAAGAGGCUGCAAGAGGCAGAGACCCGGUAUCCUCCAAUUGAGAAAAUCGUUCUCGCCGUUGUACACACAGCACGAAGAUUUCGAGAAUAUUUUCUGGCACACACGAUCAAGGUCUUAACUGAACAUCCACUACGAAGGAUCAUUCACAGACCAGACACAUCUGACAAACUCACGAAGUGGGCCCUGAAGCUGAGUGAGUUUGAUGUCGAUUUUAUUUCAGCUACAACCAUCAAAGGACAAGCCAUUGCAGAUUUCAUAGUAGAUAUAACACAAGGCAAUGAGAACUCUCCUUGGGUAGUGGAAGUCGACGACUCGAGCUGCAGCACAGGUGCCGGAAUAGGGGUCAAGAUAAUAACUCCAGACCAGAAAAUAUACGAACACUCGGUAAGAGUUUUCCCCCAACUUGCUUUUGGUUGAUGCGAUCAAUCGCACCAUCGGGGUAAAGCGUUGUAUACUCUGUGUAAAACAAUAAAGAGGUUAGUAAGAUAAGAAGUAUGCGUAGAAAGAAAUAAAAGUGUUAUUAACCUUUACUAGUGAACGUAUCCUUGUUAGCUUCAUAAAGAUAGACAGGUUUAGGAUACACUCUACUCAACGACUUGACCUGUUCAAGCUCCUCAGUACUGAGAAUGGGUUUAAGAACAGAGGUACAAUGCUUGGCCAAUACAGGUGAUAGCAUAGUGUACGGGCGCAAGCGAGCGUCGACAAAAAUAAACUCAUUUUUCCUUCUCCUCGUAGGAGGGUCGCGAAGGAGGGAAGAGUGAGAAGAAGUUGCCUGACUCGAACAAGAAAUAAGAGUUUCGGAGUGGGAGGCAGCAGAAAAAGUAAAAUAAUGAAAAAACAGAUUACCAGAAGGCUUGAUGUGUAAAUCCCGAAGGACAUUUUGAAAACCGUGAGCAUAGAAAAAGAAAGCGACACCUAGUUGAGAUAUACAUAUAUACGUCAGCCACUCUUAAAAUCUCACUAAUAAAACGUGGGAUAGGGAGAAUAAGGAAAUUGGUGAAAUAAUAUUUAGGGAGUGCAACCAUAUAAUAAGGCACUACAUCGCCCGUAAACUCGUCAGGAUGGAGCCAAUAAACCCUCUCCCUUAACUCAAGGCUCAUCAGGAGCUUAAUCGAGGCCUUUUUCGACAACCGGUUUGUAGAAACACGGUUCUCGAGCUUGGGGUUAUUAGAGUAUAACUGUUUAGGAUAACAGUUAUAAUAACUAAAUAUCAAAAUGUAAUAUAAAUAGAUAACUAUACAUACGAUGUAAUGACAACAAAAUACAAUACAAUCAACCAUUUGAGUGUAAUUGUAAUAUGGUAUCAGUUAGCUAGGCGAUCGUUGGGAAAUUUCUUGACGAUUUCCAGACGUUCUUGAUUUGUUACUUCCGCCGCUGGAAUCGCGAUCUACUACUUCCGCCGCUGGAAUCGCAAUCCGCGUUCUUCCGCAAAACGCAACAGAUCUUCCGCGAUCUUCUUCCGUAGCAAUCCACUACUUCUGUUCUUCUAUAGAUUCCGACCUCCGACUGCAAAAUCGCAAUCGCAAUCUGCAAGAUCGAGUCUUCCGUUCAGACUUCCGACUGCAAAUCGCAACAGACAUCCGACUGCAAUCUGCAAGGUAUCUUCCGUUCUUCCGUGUUCUUCCUCCGACAGCAAUUGCAAUCCGAGUUCAGACUGCAGUUCUUCCGUCAUUUGAUUUCGCGUCCUCCGCUACUUCCGCAAUUUCGCGAUUUCAGAAUACUGACUUCCGCAAAUACUUCUGCGAUCAAUUUUUCAAUCAGACUGCUUCCGCAAUUUACGCAAUCAGACUGCUUCUGCGAUCGAAUACUUACUUCCGCAAUUUCCGCAAAUACUGCUUCUUGUAAUCAGACUGCUUCCGGCUUCUGACUUCUUCCGUCUUCCGAUUUCAGACUGCCGACUUCCGAUUCAACUUCUGAUUUUAUUUUUCCAAGUCUUUCGCGAUUCAACUUGCGAUUUCAUACUCCCGCAACAGACUUUGACUUCUCAGUGCUGCAAAUAAUGAAUACUGCAAUUGUUCCAGGAAUAGCUCCGUUCAAACCCGUCAAGAUCAAGUACCACCAGGCCGAAAAACUCACCAACGAUAACUUCUUCACAUUGCAGGCACAAAUCAAAACUCUUCUAAAGGGAUAUGAUCUCCUGUCAUACGUGGAUGGAUCGAUCGUGCUGGAUAAUGAUCCAAAAAUUCAGCAAGAUCAAUUGCUUUUGGGGUGGAUCUUCUCCACACUUCACACCGACGUCUUAGCACAAAUCGCAAGCGUCGAAACUUCUGCUGAGGCUUGGAAACAGCUGCAAGAGUUGCAUGCAUCAUCUUUAGGGUCAAGGGUGUUGCAGAUCCGGCAACAACUUCAAACAAUAAAAAAGGGUGAUCUCUUAAUCGAUGCCUAUUUAACCAAAAUCACAAGGUUAGUGGAUACCUUGAGGACUGCUGGAGUAAGUGUUUCAAUAGGAGAAGUCAUAUUGUAUAUUCUUGGGGGAUUGGAUACUGACUAUGAAGCUAUAGUUUCCGUAAUUUCAUCUCAAUUAGAGACAAUGAAUCUGCCAACGGUACGCACACUUCUAACAAAUCAGAAAAUUCGAAACUCAAAGGUUAGGAACUCUUAAUCAGCUUUUUCAAUUAAUGCAAUCAAUCAUAAUUCUAAACGAGAUCGAGAGACGAGAUCGGUAUGUCAAAUAUGUGGCAAACGUGGACAUAUCGCAAUUGCCUGUCACAACAGGUACAACGAAUCUCUUUAUCCUACACCUUCGGAGCAUAGAGCGCGCCAGGAGGCUCAGAUGAACAAAACUAUGCAAAAGGAAACUCCGACAAAAAUUAAUGCACUCUGGAAUCCAGAUUCUGCAGCUACGGGGCAUGUCUCAGGUAAUCAUCAGUAUGUUCAUCUACAUAAGUCUUUUUCGAACCAUUCGGGUAUAGUGCUUGCAGAUGGUGCAGCAGUGCCAGUUGAAGGAGUUGGAGAUUCAAUCUUCUCCAAAAAUAAUCAUAAUAUUCAUGUUAAUGAUAUUUCUGUGGUUCCAUCGGUAGCAAGAAAUUUACCAUCAGUCUACAAGCUUUGCAAUGACAACAAUUUCGGAAUAUGGUUUGACAAAUCAUGUGUAUGUCUAUUGGACUUGCAGACUGAAGAAUUAGUAGCAAAAGGCAGAGCGGUGAAUGGAAUGUACGAGCUAAAUCUGGACAAUCCGAGAGCGACAACGGAGGUCAACAGGAUAAAAUCCGUCUCGAUGGAUUUGUGGCAUUAUCGCUUAGGCCAUAUUUCAUCAAAAACAACUUUGGACAUUGUUAAACUUUUUAAACUUCCUAUGAAUUCAGUAAAUAAAGAUCUUAAUUGUCGCUCAUGUGUAAUGGCCAAACAUCAUCGUCUUCCCUCAUAUACACGACCGAAAAAUUCUGCAUCAAAUCUGUUAGAUAUUGUUUAUGCAGAUCUUUGGGGACCGACCGAUACCUUCUACGAACGGACAUUUUUAUUUCAUUAAUUUUGUGGAUGUAUUCUCCAAGCAUAAUUGGUUAUUUCCUCUAAUAGCAAAAUCUGAUGCAUUAAAAGUGUUUAAAUUGUUCAAAGUGUUUGUUGAAAAUCAAAUAGAUAGGAAGAUAAAAGCUCUACAAACAGACAAUGGAGGCGAAUUCCUGUCAUUCAAGGGAUACCUAGAAGAAUGUGGCAUUGAGCAUCGUCGUUCAUGUCCAUAUGCUCAUACACAGAUGGGAACUGUAGAAAGACGCCACAGACAUAUCGUAGAUAUCGGUCUUGCCUUACUUCAUCACGGAAACAUUCCUCUCAGAUUCUGGCAUCAUGCAUUUACUACAACAAGCUUUCUCUACAAUCGAACUCCGACUACUUCACUUGCCGGUGACUCACCCUUUAAGGUUUGGUUCGGUGAAACUCCAAGUUAUUCGGAUCUUCGGGUAUUCGGAUGUCUCGUUUACCCAAAUUUACGCCCACUUCGCAAAAAUAAAUUCAGUUACAGAUCGGACCCUCACAUUUUCUUAGGCUACCCACAAAACCAUCGGGGGCAUUUGUGUUAAAACCGAAGAUAGAUAAAUUUAUUAUUUCAAGGGACUGUGUAUUUUUUGAAACAGAUUUUAGCCAAAAUAAACAACUACUAGAAUCGUAAGAAUCCAUGUCAUCAGGAUUUUUCAAUUCAAGCAUUCCUGGUCCAUUAACAUCAUCUCAAGUUGACCCAAUAGAUGCAGACUCAAGGCAGCAUGAUACAAUGUCAGACUCUAUCACAGAAGAUGAAUCUGAUGAUCAAGGCUUUGGUCAACAUAUCGUAUCACCUUCUGGUCAACCAUCAGGGACAGUAACAAAUGUUUCCGAAAAUCCAUUACAAAAUCAUCAGAUGAUAACAAGGGCAAGGAGUGGGAUACGAAAACCAAAUCCUAAAUAUAUCUGCUAUAUAUCAGCUACAGAACUUAUGGUUCCUUUAGGGGUUACCAAGGCACUUGAAGACCCAGAGUAGGCGGAUGCAAUGAAGAAAGAAUAUGACGCAUUAAUUGAAAACAAAACCUGGGAACUACUAGAACAAUCACCAAAUCUUAACGUGCUAAGUUGCAAAUGGGUUUUUCGUAACAAAUUUAAUCCGGAUGGAACAUUGGAAAGACGAAAGGCACGUCUGGUAGCAAAUGGUUUACGUCAAAGAGACGGCGUAGAUUACAAUCAAACGUUCGCACCAGUAGUCAAACUGGUAACAGUCAGAAUUGCACUAGCAUUAGCAGUUAGCAAAUGGUGGUCAACAAUACAGUUAGAUAUCUCAAAUGCAUUUUUGCAUGGGGUGCUCGAUGAAGAAGUCUACAUGCGCCAACCAACGGGAUUUACUAAUCCAAAAUUUCCGGCACAUAUCUGCAAAUUAAUGAAAUCAAUCUAUGGACUUAAACAAUCUUCCCGAGCAUGGUUCACCCGAUUAAGGGAUGUUGUGGUAGGACUAGGCUUCAAAGAAAGUGCAUGUGAUCACUCUCUGUUUAUGUAUGAUAUGGAAGCCGUAUUUGUAAUGUUUAUCGUCUACGUUGACGAUAUCAUUGUCACAGGAUCAUCUGAAGAAUUUGUGGAAAAUCUGGUUUUGAAACUUUCGGAACAAUUCCCAGUACGAAAUUUAGGGAAAUUGAAACAUUUUUUGGGGAUUCAUAUAACACAGGAUACGGAUGGCUCGGUAUAUCUGACACAACAUCAGUAUGCUAAAUCCAUUCUGGAGAAAGUAGAGUUGGAAGACAUAAAGCCAGCAGCAGUCCCGAUGGAUCCACGAGUAAAACUAUAUGAAGAUGAUCCACUUUUGACUUCACUAACGCUAUUCCGACAAGUCAUUGGGGGUCUACAAUAUUUAACUAUCACCCGGCCAGAUUUAGCAUUUUCAGUCAAUAAACUUGCACAAUUCAUGCAAGCCCCGACUCUGACACACUGGGGGGCCUUAAAACGUCUUCUAAGAUAUGUUUCAGGAACUUUGUUUCGCGGACUUCACAUAACAAAAUCCGAUUCUAUGUCCCUAACGGCAUACUCCGAUGCGGAUUGGGGAGGCGACAAAACUGACAGUAGAAGUCAGGGGGCGUUUGUAGUAUAUCUUGGUACAAACGUCAUCUCUUGGAGUUCACGAAAGCAAGCAUCAGUCGCAAGAUCAACUACGGAGGGCGAAUACAACAGUGUAGCAGAUGCAAUUGCGGAACUUGAAUGGAUAAAGCAAUUGCUAUCAGAACUCAAGGUUAUAGUUGAAUCUGCAUUGAGGGUCUGGUGCGAUAAUACAGGAGAAAUCGCAAUAUCGAAGAAUCCGUCACACCAUAUGAAAUCAAAGCAUUUCGCAAUGCAGUAUCACUUCAUCCGGGAAAGAGUACGAUCUAAGUCAUUAGAGGUCAAAUUCGUCGGUACGGCAGAUCAGACAGCGGACCUGUUGACAAAACCGCUAGCCAAUCAAGGAUUUGAAUCACUAGCUUCCAAGCUCACGGAAGAGCUCCCGCUUCACUUGAGGGAGCGUAUUAGAGUAUAACUGUUUAGGAUAACUGUUAUAAUAACUAAAUAUCAAAAUGUAAUAUAAAUAGAUAACUAUACAUACGAUGUAAUGACAACAAAAUACAAUACAAUCAACCAUUUGAGUGUAAUUGUAAUAGGGGUAACCAGUGUUCUCAGAAGAAAUUGAUAUGAUUGAACCACAUUCCAUCCCAUAUGGUUGUUUCCUCUCUUGAAUAGGAACCCGAUGAUAAUUAUGGGGGCGGACAACAAACACACUCCAUUUUAUACGACUCCCGUCCGCCUCGUUAUAAAAAGAUGGAGCAGGACCCCCAUUAUCUUUAUUAAUUGGGCAUGGAAAAGGGUAGGGGGUCCUAGACUUUUUAGCUUUCUCCGAAAUGAACAGAAGGGGAUUUGAAAGGAUAUCGUCCUGGGUCACCUCCGACGGCAAUCUAAUAGGAGAAAUAGGUGAGACAGGGCUACGACAGAUGACUACGUCAAUAUGAGUAGGCAGACGUUCAUCUUGAGAGUCAAAUUCAUCUAUGUUAACCUCUCCUUCAGACUUGGAGGAACUAUAACUGCUGCUGGAAUCUUCAGCCCGAUCAUUCCCAUAAUGGGAAGAUUUAGGACUCUGAUCACUAACAGAAAAGGAGGUAGAUGCCUCGAAAUCGUCAGAGUCUUCAGAAUUUCUCUCGUUAGAAGGAGAGUCAGAGCCUACAAGAAAGGUUAAUUAAUAAAGAAGUCGACCCUGCCCCCAGGGAGAACUUCAGAGGAAGUUGACCAAAGGAAUCGACAGAAAGAAGUCGAAUCCACCAUCCGAAAGGGAGGACUUAUAAAAAGUUGGCGCAAAAGUCGACCCCAAGAGACGACUCUGAGAUGUCAAACCCAAGAUAAGGCAUAGGUGACUCCAAGAGACUCGACUUCGAAAAGUCAGGCUCAAAGGAAGUCGACCCCCUUUUCAUAGUGUAAGUCGAACCCUUACACUGGAAAACUCGAGGACCAGAGCGAGAAAGUCGAGCUAGAAAAUCGGAGAAUGCGGAAAAAUGAAAUGCUCAACCCCCGACUAUUUAUAGACAAAAGUCGAGAAGUUGAAACGUCGCGGGCCAGAUAGGCCUAUCGGCCUCGAAAACAAGCCCAGGCCAGGUCCAAAACACCGCAUCUCGACAUUCCAAUCCUCCAGCUCGACAUCAUAAAUCCAACGCUCGAAAUUUCUAUUCUCUCGCUCGACAUCGUGAUUUUAAUAUCGGUCGAUGCUCGAGGGCUCGACAUUUUGACUCAGUCAAUAAUGUGGCUCAACAUCCGGACCGUAAGUUAGAAAAUCACGGCACGAGAUUUUGACAUCGGUCGAUACUCAAAGGCUCGAUAUUUUGAGAAUGUGGCUCGACAUCUGGACCGUAGGUUUGAAAAUCACGGCGCGAGAUUUUGACAUCGGUCGAUGCUCAAAGGCUCGACAUUUUGAGAAUGUGGCUCGACAUCUGGACCGUAGGUUUGAAAAUCACGGCGCGAGAUUUUGACAUCGGUCGAUGCUCGAAGAUUCGACAUUUUGACAACGCGGUUUGACAUUUGACCGUAGGUUUGAAAAUCACGGCGCGAGAUUUUAACAUCGGUCGAUACUCGAAGGCUCGACAUUUUGAGAAUGCGACUCGACAUAUGGACCGUAGGUUUGAAAAUCUCGGCGUGAGAUUUUGACAUCGGUUGAUGCUCGAAGGCUCGACAUUUUGACAAUGCGCGAGACCUAAUACGACGAGAACGCCUCCGACGGUGACCACGUCCCGCAACCACAGCAGGUUCCCUAAGAGAAAGAUCUCCGACAGACCACUCCUCGAACAAGGUUUCUCGAGCAGCCACAACAACACUCUGCCGCUCCAAAAUAAUCUGACAAAGUGUUGAAGCACUGAAUCUGCUACCAGGGCUCGCGGUGGUGCGAGGUGAUGCUGGAGGCUCUGGAGUCCACGACGCACGCUCUACGUCAAAUACCUGCAAGUAGAAACUAGGCGAUUCUAGUGAGAAUCGGCGAGUUUCUUAGUGAUGCUCUGGUGAGAGUGGAACUUGUGUUGUGCCUUUGAGUGUCCCCUUGGGACCCUUUUUAUAGGGUCUCGGAGGGCGCGAUCAAAGGCGGGCAUCGCGCCUAUUGCCAUAGAUGGGAGCAUUUAUGGUGUUGGCUGGCUGCGAGUAACGGUCUUAAGUCGGAGAUUCAGGUAUGGAAAUCGCCUAUUUAGGGCAAACUCGCCGAGUUUCCAGGGGCGAGAUGUGCAGUCUACCAUACUACCGAUCUGGGCCCUAACUCAACGACUUAUCCCUAAAGUCGGCGACUUGGUAGUCCAAUCGCGACUUAUGGGUUAAUCUCGGCGAUUUGGACGAUGAACUUGUUCCGCACUGUGGGAGCUCUCCGGGGGUCCGGCGUAAAACGACGGAACCCUAGUUCUUGUUGAAAGGCGUUGCUGGGAGUGACUGCCAUAAUCAGGCAUGUCUCAUCAGUACUCCCCCCUGAAGAGAGCACAAGAAACAUGCGUGUAUCGCCAGUACCCUCCCCCCCCAACCAAGGUUCUGUGUGUGAGCCGAAGCGACAAGAUGGGAUCGAAUCAUUCCGCCCACAGUGACGUACUGAUUCCGUAUCCAUUAUGGCCUAAGCGACAAGAAUGGAUUGACUCUGUAGGGUCGAACCGACAGAAUCGAGUUUCAGGCCAACGGAACUACCUGUUUAUAGUCUAACCCUGAUCAAGAGCGACUGCACUGUGUUUAUCAAGGCCGGAGCGACAAGAUUAAUUCCGGCCGAAGCGACAGAACCUGAUUCUGGCCGAAGCGAUAGAACCGAGUUCUAGCCAAAGCGAUAGAACUAAUGUUUAUAGUCCACCCUGAUCAAGAGCGACUUUUAUGUCCACAACGACGGUUACCCCCUCAAGGCCUAAAGCGGCAAGACGGGUUGAGACCAUUAAGGCCAAAGCGACAGAAUGAUCUCUAGUCUAUCAAGGCAAAAGCGGCAGGAUAGAUUGACUCACUAUCAGAGUCUGAUUCUGGCCGAAGCGACAGAAUAAUACAUGCAAAAAAGAAAACAUCCUGCAAAACAACUAGAUUAGUCUAAAACGCAUAUUAUUAUUGACCAAUUGAAUUUACCGUGCGAUUUUACCUCUUGUGAUAUUCUCCUUUUGCUCGAACCAAUCCUUGGUAAAUCUGGCCGAAGCGACAGAUUUUACCGUGUUUAUUUUGAUGACUUCCGGCCGGAGCGUUGACAGAAGUGUCGGGAAAGCUUGUAAUACUCCCCCCCUGAAAUUUGACAAUUUCCCGCCGAAGCGACAGAAAUGUCGGGAGAGCUUGUGAUACUCCCCCUCGAAAUUCGACGAUUUCCGGCGGGAGCGACAGAAAUGUUGGGAGAGCUUGUGAUACUCCCCCUCGAAAUUCGAUGAUUUCCCACCGAAGCGACAGAAAUGUCGGGAGAGCUUGUGAUACUCUCCUUUUGAUGCGCUGAAGGGAGCUUGUGAUACUCCCCCCCCUAAGAUGCUAUGUGAUAUCCUAAGUCGGCGACUUAAUGUCCUAACUCGGCGACUUGGCAUCGGGGUGGUUUUGUGAGCAACUUAGAAGUUUGCCUACCUGGAUCGGCGACAACUCGGCGAUCCUUAAUAUGAGCUGGCGGAUUUCUUAGAAAAUCCUUGGGAUCUUGGGAAAUAUUUGCAAAUUUUCCAAAUAUGGAAGUUUCCCUUUCGUAUCCCGUGAUUUUUGCCCAAACUCGGCGAGUUUACGGGUAACUCGCCGAGUUUUGGAGAUUUGAGAAUCAAUUAGCGAUUUUCCUUCGCGUAAUUUUUGGAUUUUCCGAGGGAGUUUUGCAAUUUGUCCAGGGUUUAUAAAUAGCGAAUUGAUUAUUUUAAUCCGCACAUCAUUUUCCCCAAAUCGCCUAAACCCUAAUCUUCCACCAAGUCGCCGAGUUUCUCUUAAAUCGCCGACUUAUGGCACACUUCCUCAGCUCACCAUGUCGGAGACCGAAGCUCUGGUCGACGACAUUCUAAACACCGAUAUUGACGAGUGUCUAACGGUGGCGCUCAACACCGUUGAGUCUCCGAUCCCCUCGCCUACGUGCGGUGGGUCGGAGAUUCCGGCUGUUGACGCACUGUCGGACGCUAGGUAUUGUGCUACAGCACGCGAGUUGCUUGGGCUCACUCCCGAGCAAUCGCCGAGUUCUAACAAGAAAUCGGCGAGUUUGGGAUGUGACUCCGAGGCUCAAGUCGUGGCCGAGCCUCCUGUUGAAGUGGGCGAGAUUUCCCCGACUCUUGCUCCUAAAUUGGCGAGUCCCCUUGAGAAGUCGUCGACUAAAGGCAAAAGUGGUGUCCCCAUCUUCAAGAGACCUCGCCGAGUUAUCAACCUGGGAUCGGCGAGUUCUGAACAAACAUCGGCGAGUUUGGCACCUAAAUCGCCGACAUUGCCCCAAAACUCGGGGGCUGAUGUUGAAGAAUACGUACCCCUUCAAGUCAUGGUACCUGAUGUUCCGGUCACCCAUACUGAGGGGAUGACCUUUACUAACCUGGGCAAGAGGCCGACUACUGAAUCUGAGAGGCCUAGUAAGAAAAGAAAAAGGAAGCAUCUGAAGCAUGCGAAGAACUCUUCUCGCGAAGGUGGUGAGGGUAGUACCCCCAUCCGAACCAUUGUUUUUUUUUUGUGGGCCGCGUAUCUAUCGAAUGCUGCUGUUGGGAUGCAGUCAUGUAAUGAUACGCUUCGAUCCCAACAAGAAUAUGAUAAGCUUGAUGACAAGUAUCAAGCUGUCUGUAAAGAAGUGUGGUCGAUGAGAAAAGUCUUCCAAAACAACAGGAAAUUGGAAGAGAAAGCUGCUGAGCAUGAGAAAGCGAUGAUGGCGAAGAAUAAAGAAUGUGCCGCAUAUAGACUUGAGAUUUCCACUCUUCGCCAAGAACGUGACUCUUUGAAGGAAUCUGAAUCGCGUCUCACUGAUGCUCUAAAAGAGAUUGAAGAACUGAAAGUGCAGCUGAAUGCGGAGGUUGGCAAUGCGAUGGCUUCUGAAUCACAAAUUCAAAAGCUUCAAGUAGAUCUUUCCAAGUCCACCUCUGACCUAAAGGAUCUGAAUGACCGCUUCUCCCAAUCCAUGGAGGAGUCGAGAAAGAUGAAAGAAGAUCUAGAUGCUUUUUCUGAAAAAGUGAAGGAUUUGGAGUUUGAGGUUGACGGUAAAUCUGACCAACUCCAGGACUUAAACUUUUUUGGUCCUUACGUGUUUCCAAGUUUGCCUGCCAACUUUGUAACUGAUAUUAUGGCGUGGCUAGAAGAACAUCCUGAAGUGCAGCUGGAGCACAAAGAAGCUCUUGAUAAGAUAAAGAGCGAUGUUCGGGAAGCGAGGAAUGAAGAAGAUUAGACUUAGAGUGGAUUUUUUGUAAUUUUGUAGUGGAUUUUUUGUUGUUUUUAUCAAUCAAUGAACUAUUUUGCUUUUGUUAAUUUUUUGUAUAAAUAUUUUAAAGUUGUAACUUAAGCUUGAAACUAGAUUCACAAAUCGUAACUUAGCCGCUCUAGACGUAAGUUAGAUUCUGCUAACUCUACUUAGCCGCUUCGGGCGUAAGCUUGGUCGUACGAAUCGUAGUUUAGUUGCUAGUUAAACUCGAAAAUGAUUUAUACUUCUAAAUUAACUUUUAGGGUUUAAAAUAGUUUGAGUGAUAAAUUGAUAUAACACCCACUAAUUCCUGAUUCGCCCGUGCGAAUGAGGGUUAUGGUCGCAAUUCUAGGCUUGCAUGCCUAAAUUGGACCUGUUCGUACUAACCCUGGAUUUGAACCCUGAGGAUGUAGUCUGACUCCUGUCCUAGUGACUUGUUGAUCCGUAUCAAGGCCGAAGCGACAAGAUUGGAUAAGAUUAUUGGGGCCGUAGCGACGGAAUGAUCCUUGUUCUACUGAGGCCGAAGCGACACAAUAGAUUUUUUAGGGUAUCCUUGCGGGUUCUAAUAUGAAGAAAGAAUUCUACGAUUAACUAACAUACAUACUAGGAAAAUUAAAGAAAAUAAACAUAAUGUGAUGAGUACUAUGCGUAGUACUGCUGCAUGUUGUCCGCGUGUCAGGUGUUUGGAACCAUUGUUCCAUCUUGUCGCCGUAGGCGAUAAGUUCCUGGUCUUAUCUCCUCUUCGACGAUGUAGGGACCUUCGAAGUUGGAUGACAGUUUAUUUCUUGGUCUAUUCCUUUCUGUUAUGCUAGCUUUCCGCAUGACGAGAGUUCUUGGUAGGAAGACUUUUUUGCGUACUUGGCGAUUGUGGUACCUUGAUACGCUUGUUUUGUAUGAUUCAUUCUGCAGGUCCGCCUCGUCACGGGUUUCAUCCCUCAACUCUAGCUCUGUAGCUAGGUUUUGGUCAUUUGUUUGUUCAUCGUACUUCGAGAUUCGAUAUGUUGGUAUACUCAUCUCGAUUGGUACGACUGCUUCCACUCCAUAGGUCAUAGCAAAAGAGGUGUUGCCCGUGAGGUUUUUACUCGUUGUGUGAUAUGCCCAUAGGAUUUCGCACAACUUGUCUGCCCAAGUCCCUUUGGCUGAUUCGAUUUUCUUUUUCAAUCCUUGUACGAUAGCCUUGUUGGUGACCUCCACUUGCCCGUUUGCCUGAGGUCGGUAAACGGAGGCGAAGUAGAGUUUUAUGUUUAGGUCUUCGCACAUUCUUGAAAAUUUUCCCCCUGUGAAUUAUGUGCCAUUGUCCGUGACAAUAUGUUGGGGAACUCCGAAUCGACAGACUAUGGAGCGGUAGACGAACUUGACCGUCGCAUCCUGAGUGAUUUUCGCUACAGCCUGAGGCUCGACCCACUUUGUAAAGUAAUCUACUGCUACAAAGAUGAACCGAGCCUGGGAUGUUGAGGGGGAGAAUGGUCCUACGAUGUCCAGUCCCCACCUUGCGAACGGGAUCGAACUCAGAAUCGGAGUCAUGUCCACGGAUGGUUUCUGCUGCAUGGGGUUGUGCAGCUGACAUGCUCGGCACUUGCGGACGUAAGUGCGAGCUUCCAACCUUAGAGUGGGCCAAUAGUACCCCAGCCUUAUGAUUUUGAAGGCCAGUGCUCUUCCUCCCCUCAUGGAGCCCGCACGAGCCUUCGUGUAUUUCCUGAAUAACCUUAUCCGUAUCGGGUUUGGCCAAACAGCGUAGCAGUGGGCUAUCGAAGGACUUUUUGUAAAGCACCCCUCCGAUGUCACAAUACUUUGCAGCUUUAUGUUUCAACCUUUUGGCCUCCCCUUUAUUGUCCGGAAGUACUCCAUUCUGAAUGAAUGCCAAUAUCGGUUGUCUCCAAUCCUCUUGAGGGUCGGAGGUAACAGUCAAUACUUGGCAUGUAGGUUGGAGUAUGGAGUCUACUAAAAUCUCACGCUGCCCUCCCUCCCAGGCUGACGCUAAACGUGCCAAAGCGUCGGCGGGUGAAUUUUGGAUUCGAGGGAUUUGCUCAAUUUUGAACUCAGCGAACUGCUUAGUGAGUGCUACCAUUGCCUCCACAUAUUUGGUUAUUUGUGGUUCCUUGCAAGUGAAUUCACCAGUGGUUUGCCGAGCUACGAGCUAGGAGUCAGUGCGGAGCGUGACAUUCUCAGCGCCGAGAGUUCUUAAUAGCUUCAGGCCGUGUAUGGCCGCUUUAUAUUCCGCGACGUUGUUAGAGGUCGGGAAGUGAAGCCGUACCGAGUGUUCGUAGUUUUUUCCAUCCGGGCUAUGGAUUUUCACUCCGAUACCUGAGCCUGUGCUACAACUCGAGCCGUCUACUUCUACAACCCAAGGUUGGGUCAAAUUGGGUGGUGUGAGUUCGAAAAUGAAGUCCACUACAGCUUGCCCCUUGAUGGCAGUGGCUGGUCGAAAAUUCAAGUUGAACUCACUGAGCUCGAUUGCCCAUUUGGUCAACCUCCCAGAAAUGUCGGGUUUGUGAAGUAGACGGCGCAAAGGACACGAUGUUAGUACCACAAUCGUGUGCGCUAAGAAGUAAGCUCGAAAGCGACAACAAGCAUGAAUCAUCGCAUAUACGAUCUUCUCGAUAGGAGAGUACUGUAGUUCAGCACCUUGUAGUCGCCUCGAGUGGUAGUAUAUAGGGACCUGGUCCUUGUCCCUCUGCGCGAUGAGGACCGCACUCACGGCUUCUUCUGAGGCCGCUAUGUAUAAGUAUAGGUCAUCUCCCUCUUUGGGUGAUGUCAGCAUGGGGAGUGAGGACAUAUGUGCUUUUAACUUAGCAAAUGCCUCCUCGCACUCCGGUGUCCAAGUAACACUACCCUUAGCCGCAGUUUUCAGUAAUUGGAAGAACGGUUUACACUUGUCAGCCGUUUGUGAUAUAAAACGACUGAGUGCGUUAAUCCGACCGUUCAGUCUUUGUACUUCUCUGAUUGUGCGGGGGGCUUCCAUAUCAAGGAUAGCUUGGAUUUUGUCGGGAUUAGGUUUGAUCCCGUGCUGACCUACAUAGAAACCAAGGAACUUGCUUUCCUUGAUUCCGAAUGGGCACUUGGCUGGGUUGAGCUUCAUUCCGUAUUGCUUGAAUGUAUCAAGGGUUUUUCUCAGAUCAUCAACGUGCUUUUCCAUGCUUGACGACUUGACUAGGAUGUCAUCGACGUAAGCGGAAAUAUUACGCCCGAUCUGAUCCGCGAAAACCUUGUCCAUUAAACGUUGAAAUGUAGCCCCAACAUUCCUCAAGCCGAAUGGCAUCACUCUAUAACAGAAUGUCCCUGAGUCCGUGAUGAAGGAUGUUUUUUCCUCAUCAGGCUCAUGGAUCAGGAUUUGGUUGUAUCCUGAGUGGGCAUCCAUCAUAGAGAGAAGCUCGUUACCGGAUGCUCCAUCGACUAGUUCGUCGAUAGAUGGCAACGGGUAACUGUCCUUGGGGCAUGCCUUAUUGAGAUCAGUGAAAUCAAUACACAUGCGCCACAUGCCAUUGAGCUUCUUGACAAGGACGGGGUUGGCCAACUAAGUCGGAUAUCGAACUUCCCGAAUGUGUCCAGCAUUCAGGAGUUUCGAUAUUUCCUCAUUGGAUGCUUCCCGCCUGUCAGAAGUGAGUACUCGACGUUUCUGGCGUACGUCGAGCUGGAAUGGAUGAGUCGACGUUAAGUUUGUGCGUCACGAUUUGACGCGCAAUCUGUGUCGGUGCCUCACCCUCCCAAACGAACCUGUCCUGGUGCUCCUCCAGAACAGUCACAAGCUUGGUUCUUAAGUUAGAGGGUAGCCCCUUUCCUAUUGCCACUUGUCCCCCUUCCAGCUGAAAUACUUCAGUCUCGUCCACAGGUUGUAAUUUCUCCCUUUCCUCAAUGUCGGGCGGGGCAUGGACGAGCAUGUUAUUACGCCUUGUCAGCUGGGUUGCCUUCUUAUACCCCUGUCUAGAAUCCUUUUGUGAUCCUUUGACAGUUGCAACGAACCCGUUUUCUGGGUAUCGAAUGCAUUGGUGAUAAGAAGACGGAACCGCUUGGAUUUCGUGGAUGAAGGGACGUCCGAAUAUGCCAUGAAAAGUGGAUUCUACUUCCACCACUAUGAAAUGACACGUUCGGCUACCCCUCCCUCGCUUGGAACCGAUGGAGACUUUCAAAUCAAUAACACUGGUCACUGGGGCGGCGAUGUUAGUGAAACCGUAGAUGGCUUCCUUACAGGGAGAUAGCUCCUCCCUUUUAAGGCCCAUCUUGGUAAAAGUGUCCAUAUAACGGAUGUCCGCAGAGCUGCCGCUGUCGACAAUCAUCCUCUCGACUCGGGAAUCAGGCAUGUCUCACCAGUACUCCCCCCUGAAGAGAGCACAAGAAACAUGCGUGUAUCGCCAGUAUCCCCCCCCAAGCAAGGUGAUCUACAUCAAGGCCAAAGCGACAAGAUGGGAUCGAAUCAUUGCGGCCACAACGACACAAUGACUCUGUUAUCCAUGCACUAUCAGAUGGAUUGAUUCACUACCAGAAUCUAAUUCCAAGCCAACGGAACUACGUGUUUAUAGUCCAACUCUGAUCAGGAGCGACUUUUGCUGUGUCAUCAUCAAGGUCAAAGCGACAAGAUGAGAGGGAAUUAUUAAGGCCAAAGCGACAAAAUAAUUCCCGUCCAUUAAGGCCAAAUCGACAAAAUGGACUGACUCACUAUCAGAGCCUGAUUCUGGCCGAAGCGACAGAAUGCGUGGAUUCACCAUCAGAAUCUGAUUCUGGCCGAAGCGACAGAAUGCGUGGAUUCACUAUCAUAAUCUAGUUCACUAUCAGAACUGAUGUUUAUAGUCUACCCUGAUCAAGAGCGACUUAAGUCCGCAAAGACGGUUACCCCACUAAGGCAAAAGCGACAAGGUGGGUCGAGAUCAUUAAAGCCAAAGCGACAAAAUGAUCUCCAAGUCUAUCAAAGCCAAAGCGACAAGAUAGAAAAAUUAUUGAGGCCAAAGCGACAAAAUAAUUCUUGGUCCAUUAAGGCCAAAGCGACAAAAUGGAAUUCGACGACUUUUGGCCGAAGCGACAGAAGUGUCGGGGAAAGCUUGUGAUACUCCCCCCUUGAGGUCAUUAAGGCCAAAGCGAAAAAAUGACCUCUGGUCUGUCAAGGCCAAAGCGACAAGACAAACCGACUCACUAUCAGAGUCUGAUUCUGGCCGAAGCGACAGAAUCUGUUGAUUCACUAUUGGAAUAUGACUCCGGUCAAGGCUACAGAUUCACUAUCAGAAUCUGAUCCUGACCAAGAUGGCGGAAUCUUACCUGCAAAAAAGGAAACAUCCUACAAAACAACUAGAUCAGUCCAAAACAAAUAUUUUUAUUUACUUAUUGAACUUACCGUGCGAUUUUACCUUUCGUGAUGCCCUUCCUUUGCUCAAUAAAACCUUGGUAAAUAUGGCCAAAGCGACAGAUCUUACCGUGCUCAAUUUUUGACGACUUCUGACCGAAGCGACAGAAGUGCCGGGAGAGUUUGUGGUACUCCCUCUGAAAUUUGACGACUUUUGCUCGAAACGACAGAAGUGUCAGGAGAGUUUGUGAUACUCCCCCCGAAAUUUAACGACUUCUGGCCGAAGCGACAGAAGUGUCGGGAGAGCUUGUGAUACACCUCCUUGAAAUUUGACGACUUCUGACCGAAACGACAGAAGUGUCGGGAGAGCUUGUGAUACUCCCCAUCGAAAUUUGACGACUUCUGGCCGAAGCGACGGAAGUGUCGGGAGAGCUUAUGAUACUCCCUCUCGAAAUUUGACGACUUCUAGCCGAAGAGACAGAAGUGUCGAGAGAGCUUAUGAUACUCUCUCUCGAAAAUCGUACAAUUGUAACACAACUUUUGGAAUGAGUAGUUUUCUGAAAUAUUUGAUUUUGAUUGUCAAUAGGCUAUCUUUUGUUUUUUCUUUGCUAAUCUUUCAUAUAAAUUACCCUUUAAAUUGUAACUAAGGCCCGAAACUAGAUUCACAAGUCGUAAUUUAGCCACUCUGGAUGUAAAUUAGACUCUGCUAAUCCUAUUGCUAGCCACUCUGGGCGUAGACUUGGUCGUACGAAUCAUAGCUCAGCCUACGGUUAAAUUUGCGGAUAAUUUAUACCUCCAGAUUAACGUAGAGUUGUAAAAGAUAGCGUGAAUGACAAAUGCGAAGGAUGCAAAUAUUUCAAACUCGAGGGUUACGUUUGUAAUUUCUAAUUACAACUUAAGUUCGAACCCUGAUGCCAGAGAGAGCUUGUGAUACUCCCUCUUGAAAUGUGACAACUUCUGACCGAAGCGACAGAAGUGUCGGAGAGAGCUUAUGAUACUCCCUCUUGAAAUAUUUUGAUAUUUUUGUAAUAUUUUUGGAACUCAAUUUAAUCAAUUAUUUUGCUUUCUUAAUUAAUUGUUUAUUUAAUUUAUUUUUUGAAUUGUAACUAAGACCCGAAACUAGAUUCACAAUUCGUAAUUUAGCCACGCUGGACGUAAAUUAGACUCUGCUAACCCUAUUGCUAACCACUAUGGGCGUAGACUUGGUCGUACGAAUCGUAGCUCAGUCUACUGCUAAACUCGCAAAAUAAAUUAAACUUCACAACUAAUUAAUACUCGCAAAGCUAAUUGACGUAAUAAGUUGGAGAUACAAAAGUUGACGUAAUACUCUGCACCCCUGGAAUCGACGACUUGGUAGUCCCAAUCGGCGAUUCUCAGGUGUUGCCUUGAGUACUUGACGUAAAACUCUGCACCCCUGGAAUCGACGAUUUGGUAGUCCCAAUCGGCGAUUCUCAGGUGUUGCCUUGAGUACUUGACGUAGGCACUUGCUCCGCACCGUGGAUGCCUUCUGAGGGUCCAGUGUAAAGCGACGGAACCCUAGUCCUUGUUGAGGGGCGUUGCUGGGAGUGGGAGUGACUGACGUAAUCAGGCAUGUCUCACCAGUACUCCCCCCUGAAGAGAGCACAAGAAACAUGCGUGUAUCGCCAGUUAGAGGUUUCAUCAAUAUCCUCAGGGAUGCUGGCAUAGUUCCGACAACUCGGCUGUUCUUCCAUUUCUUCUCCUUUCAAAAUGCGAAGAAGGGCAGCCCUUUUAUUGCCUGUGCCAGUCGUGCUGCUACUAUUCAACACUCCGCUCUUCUAAAAGAUCCUCCGACCAGGCGGAACAAGAGCGAGUUUAUUUUUGUGGAUUGCAGGCUAUGUCCUGGAAGCCGACUUCUUCCUGCAUCCAAUAGUGACCGUAGGGCUACUCCCCGUCCUAUUUUGACCUUGGACGAAGGGAAUUCUGUACAGAGAUUGGCCCACCUUCACGAAAUCGCGGUGCCAGUUGGUCAUGCGAUAGAUGACAAUUUUGACCGCAAAGGUUUUUCUUUUUUUAGAGUUAAUACUUGUAUGAGUGUUUUUACUUUAUUAACUUCUUUUCUCUUUUCACAGUUUUUUAUUUGCACAAUCCUGACGGUGUCCCUGAACGCGUGGGACAAAACUGGACUGGCACGAAGGUUUAUGCGCCUGCUGCCAAACCUUCUGACGCCCGACACUUGAGGCGUCGUGCUGCUGAAGAAGGUUACCGGGUUGAUUCUCCUACUCCUGAGGAUAACCCGCUUAAUGAAGAAGAGACCCAACCUGAUGUUGUGGAGACUCCCCCUGUGCAGCCAACUAUUUAGGAAGCACCUUCUGUGCCAUCUGCCUCUGCUGCUGCCAAACUUGCUUCUUACUUCCGUACGCCGGAAAAAGAGCAAGGGAAAGAUGCUGGGGAGACCAGCAGGAGGGGCGGGAAGGGGGAAGACAAAGGCAAAGGCCGAUAUGAAAAAAGGAAAUCCCCUUCUUCCACGGAAGUACUAUGAGGGUGAUUUCCGCCGACUAUCACUUUAGAUGGCGGAAAUCCGCCAUCUAAAGACCGCCAUACAAGGUCUUAUUUCUUGUAGUAUGUGUUUGUGGCUGUUUCGAUGUUUGCAUCUUUGACUGGAACAUUGAUACUUUGGAUUUUUCAAUUGUUUUCAGUCUUUCCCCCAUUUUAGCUAUAGUUUCCUUCAUUUUCUCAAUCUCCUCCACAUACGAAUCCACGAGGAGCUUCUGAUGUUGAAGCCCUUGUUUCCUAGUUAUUCACAGGUUUUGUUUGCUCAGGAGGUUUUUCCUGAAACUGCUCCUUUGGAGGUUAUUCUUCCCGAGACUUCUCCUUUUGAAGCUGCUCCUUUGGAGGUUGCUCUCUUUCAGUAAGGAGUCGUAUGGCCUCAGCUAUUACCUGCAGCGUGAUAUUUAGAUUCUCCCCACCUGCUGAUACUUGGUGGGUUGACUCAGGUUCAACUUCAGUUUAUUAUGUGUGCUUUUAUUUUUAUUAGCCUUAGGUGGCCGACCCACUGGUCUUUUAGUCCUUGAGUUUCCAGGCUGUUGUUCUGGUACUUCCUGAGAGUUGGCUCCUCCUUGAGAAGUACUUCUUGUUGCUACCAUCCUGGAGAGUUCGACUUUUUAGCAAGAAGAAAGUAGAUCCUGGUGCACUUGGAGACUUUCUCUAAAGUCGUAGUCCGAAAGUGUAGCUCCUUGAGAAAUCAACUUUUCUUCUGGAAAGAGAAAAAGUCGAUCCUUUGCCGAGCUGAUUUCCUCGCAAGACUCCCUGGCUGGCGACUCGGAAAAAAGUCGAAUCCUUUUUUCGCAAAAGUCGAGGAGCUUUUGUCGUGAGUAUCUUUGAAUCACAGACGGCGCUAACUGAUGAGGGCGAAACCCGAUCAGUACUCCAAGACGUUUCCAAGAAGCGCCAGGCGGGGAACUUCGCGAGAAAUUGGACCGGAACUCAAAUGCGCAGAGCUCUGCUUCGCUAGGACUUCUUCACUCCAAAUGACCUGCCUUCGAUGAGUGGGGGGUGCCUCCUAUUUAUAGAGAUUCUUAUGGGGGUAAUCUGGUCAUUUGGGCAGUAACCGCCUAACCGCUUAACUGCCUAACUGAUCAGAUCGAGUCCCAAGGUCGACUUUCCAGAGAUCGACUUUCUCAGGAUCCGACUUUCCUGGGACUCGACUUUGUUCAGAAGUCGAUCCCACGGAAGUCGAUCCUUGGGAAAGUCGACCUUCCUAAGAGUUGACUUGGGACCUUCCCAAACCUAGAAUAGGUACCUCAGUUCAUCUCAGGCUAUCCGGACUUCUAGUUGCUGGUAAGUUGUGACCAGGUUCGGGAUACUGUAUCACCAUUUUUAAACCCAUCAAAUUAGUAAUAUUUAACCCUAACCUAAUACAAAAUGCAAAAUUCCCUAAUUAAUCCCCAAAUAAAACCUAAAGACCUUAAAUUUUAAACCCAUCACUAAACCCCCAACUCCCAAACCCCCGAUUUCACUCAACCGUGAUUUUAACCGACGGCAUCGACGAUUUGAAUGGGAGCGACGAUUCCAACGGCAGCGGCGAUUUCCAACGGCACCGGCGACCUACGGGACUUCCUCUCCUCCUGCGAUUUCCAACAGCACCGGCGAUUCUCGGAUUUCCCACCCAAUCUUCGACAGCGCUGUCUGAUUGUUUUCUUCCGGCAGUGGUGACUUCGACUUCCGCAGCGGCGACUUCCUGUUUCGGCGAGACAUCCGGCCAGUGACUUCAAUCCUUCACCAGGUAAUUUAUUUGCAAAUAGUUAGUACUAAUUUCCUGUAAAUAGUUAAAUAUAUGUAUAUAAUUAGUUGGUUGGUUGUAUAUGUUCUAGAAGCAUCUGUAAUUAGACAUACAUACCCUGUUAUUCAUAAUCCUUAUUCUAUUUAAAAAGAGAGCAGAGACAAUCAGGCAAGUAUAUAUGCAAUCCUUAUUCAAUAUUUUUGUCUCCUGGAUUAAGAGAAAAUAGAAAGAAAAGGCAUAAUAUAACAAUUUAUUUUUACAAAAUUAAUAAUAGUACAGACCAUUAUUAAUAUAACAAUUUAUUUUUUACAAAUACAGACCAUUAUCAUUUGGAACUUGUUGGAGAGCUUCGUCAACCAUUUCUUGAACAGAUAUCCCUCCGGUGUCUUCUUCAAACAGGUAAUCGAUUUCCUUUUCCCCAUUUCUUAUUUCCCGAUUUUCUAUUUUCUCUACUCUUUUUCUUCGAUUUCUGUAAAAGAUACAAUGUUUAACUAAUUGAUUUCUGUAAUCGAUUACUGUAAUUGAAUUCUGUUUGAAUGGUUGAUGAUGAGUAACUUAGAAUCAAAAUGUUAAGAAUUUGUUUUUAGUAACACUCAAUUCCUCCAUUUUUAUUUUUUAUUAUUCUGUUUUUGCAUUCAUUUGAAUGGUUGUGUUUUAUUAAAAUAUUCUGUUUAGUGACUUUUUUUGCUUUUAGGUUAGGGUUAUAUUUAGUUUUUUUACUUACUCUCUGUACUUAUCUUUUUUAUGAUUAAAUGAUCUACGUCUCCUUUUUGUGAUAUGUUCAAAUAUUAUUUAUGAACUUAACUGGAAUUCACAUUUCUCAUACUAGUUUCUGCUUUCAUUGAGGUCCUAUAAUAUCUGAAUGAGUUCUUAUCACAUUUAAUUAGAUGAUUUAAUAUUUUUUACCGAGAUGCAUGUAUCUUCAUUUGUAUGUCAUAUAUAUGUUUAUUUGCAGGUAUAAUUUUAUGUUAUAUAUGUUUCCAUUAUCAUUAAAAGUAAAAUGGUCAUGCCAAAUUUUAUAAAAUUGAAACAAUUAAUUCAAAAUGUAAUUUGAUAUAGUUUAUUCCAAACUCACAGGUGUUGGUGUUAAACUCAAGUGUUUUUUCCAAACUCACAGGUUUAUUCCAAACUCCCCUAUUCUCGAUUUCUUAUUUCAAUUAUCAUUUUAGUUUAUUAAUUUAGUUUUUUAAAAUUCAUUACUUAAUUAUUGUUUAGUCAAUAUUUUGAAUGUAUAAUUUAAAUAAAUUGUUUGAUAUAGCAUAAUGGGAAGGAAAGAGAAACAGAUACCGCGUAGACCUCCAUUUCCGAUAUGUGUUCCGGAAGUGCGCCCUCAAGUUCCACCCGUACCUACAACAAUACCUGUUGUACCUCCAUUUCAGCCAUAUCCAGUGUAUGUGCCACGGGCGAUAGGUCCAUCGAGCUCUCGUCAUCCGCCAAUCGUAAUGAGAGUGAAGCAACCAUCUAGGAGGCCCCCGAUGAUGGAUCAUCCACUGAGGUUCUUUGGUCCCCGAUGAGACAAAAGAGCACCGGCUACGGGAGGUGUGAAAUAUUCACCCGAUUUUCAAUAUUCGUACGGGUCGAAUUGUUCAGACGCGAAUGCCACCAUGCAAGGUCCUUCCUUUGACUGCGAAACCGAAUCUUCCCAGGUUACUGAAGUUUCGGUUAUGUCCAACUAUCCGAACACUAUAGUAAUUUUUAGCGACGACGAAUCCGUCGAAAACAGCGAUAGGAUGAGUGUCAAUGAUAAUUAUAGUUAGUUGAACAAUAAUUUAGUAAACUUAUGUGAAAUUUUUGUUUUGGUAACUAUGAAUUUUGUUUUAGUUGAAUGAAAUAUUUUUAUUAUAUAUUGAAUGAAAUUGUCUAUUUAGGUUGGCUAAAUUAUAGUGAAAUUGAAAUUACAAUAAGGUUAUGUCAAAAUUUAGAUUGUCAUUAAUUAGAAUUAUGUCGUUUACUUGCAUUCAAAAACUAAGCACGUAUUUUAUAUUUAUUUUGUAGAAUGAUCGACGACGAUCGAAGUUGGAUGUACAAGAGAUUAGAUAAUAAAAGACAGAUCACGGACUCUUUUGUUGUGGGUGUCCAUGAACUUUUGAAUUUUGCCUUCACCAAUUCUAGCUCCAUUGGUGAAAGAGGACAGAUUAAAUGUCCUUGUGGUCAAUGUUGUUGCUUGAGUAAGCAAGAUCAAGAUACGAUGGGAGUUCAUCUUUACAGAUUCGGUUUCAUGAGUGGCUACACGAAUUGGGAUAAACAUGGUGAACCAAAAAAGAAACCCUUCAUGAUGUUGACAUGACCGAGAAUACUAAUCAAUUUGUUGACAUGGUUCACGAUGCAAGUAGGUCAAUUGAUUUGCAUGACGAAGAACCGAAUGUUGAAGCUCAAAAAUUUUACGAUCUUUUGAAUUCUGGUCAUGAAAAAGUAUACGAGGGUUGCGAAACAUCUAUUUUGGAAAUUUUAACCGAAUUGAUAUAUUUUAAAUCAACGUAUGGACUUUCUGUGGAAGGCUAUGAUACAUUAAUGAAGACUAUUCAGAAGGUGUUACCAAAACCGAAAAGCUUCCAGAUACAUUUUACAAGGCGAAACAAAAAAUGAAGAACCUUGGAUUGGGACAUGAGAAAAUCGAUGCAUGUCCGAACAAUAUAAUAAAGAUUUAAACGAAUGUCCGACAUGUUAUGAACCUAGAUUUAAGACCAGAACAAGUGGUGGUCGUGAUAUUUCUGUGAAAAUUCUUCGUUAUUUUCCUUUAAUACUUCGACUACAACGAUUGUAUCAUUGUUCGAAGAUUGCCAAAGAAAUGGUCUGACAUAGUACUAGUCGUCAAGAUGUCCCCAAUGAGCUACGACAUCCAUCUGACGGUCAAGCUUGGAAACAUUUCGACAAUACUUAUCCUGCAUUUGCCUCUGAUGGUCAGAAUGUGCGACUCGAUCUUUCUACAGAUGGAUUCAAUCCAUUCGGUCAUUCUUCGUCACAAUAUUCUUUAUGGUCAGUUAUUGUGACACCGUACAACCUUUCUCCUUAGAUGUGUAACACACAACAAUUUCUGUUCUUGACAAUGUUGAUUCCUGGUCCGAAUGGUCCGAAAAAAGAAAUUGACGUUUAUUUAAAACCAUUGAUUGACGAACUGAAAUUAUUGUGGAUCGAUGGAGUGGAGACGUAUGAUGCCUUUAGUCAGACAAAUUUCACAAUGAGAGCAUCACUUCUGUGGACUAUUUCCGAUUUCUCAGCUUAUGCCAUGUUAUCCGGUUGGAGUACACAUGAGAAGUUAGUAUGUCCGUAUUGCAUAGAAGAGACAAAAUCUUUCUAUCUGACUCAUAGUGGAAAACCUUGUCAUUUUGAUUGUCAUCGUCGAUUUCUUCCAGCGAAUCAUUUAUUUCGACGACAGAAAGAUAAAUUUAUAAAAAGAAUCAAAAAAGAUUGUCCAAUUGAAUGUAUUCAAGGAUUAGAAAUUCAAGCAUGUUUGCCAUUGAAGAAUGAUGUUAUUUUAGGUGGAUUGAAUGAUAAAAGAAAGUUAUUAAAUUUUGAAAAGACGCACAAUUGGACGAAAAGAAGUAUAUUUUUCGAAUUACCAUAUUAGAGUAGUUUGCUUUUACGUCAUAAUAUUGACGUCAUGCAUGUUGAGAAGAAUGUUUUCGAUAAUAUUUUUAAUACAGUUAUAAAUGUUAAAAAUAAAACCAAAGAUAACCUCAAAAGUUACAACGAUUUAGUGGAAUUGGAUAUUUGCCAUGACUUACACCCUCGGAAGAUGGGACAAAAGUUAAUUGUUCCGAAAGCGUCGUAUGUUUUGGAAAAAUUUCAAAUAAAGAAAGUCUGUGAAUGGGUGGCACAUCUUCGAUUUCCCGAUGGGCAUGUGUCGAAUAUCUCGAAAUGUGUGAAACCAGGCGAGAAUAUUAUUUCAGGAAUGAAGAGUCGUGAUUGUCAUGUGUUCAUGCAGAGAUUGUUACCUAUUGCGUUCAAUGAUAUGCUACCGAAAGAGUUUAUCAAUAUUAUCACCGAUGUCAGUCGUUUUUUUACCAACAUAUGUUCUCCAACAGUAAAAGUAAACGACAUGAAAAAACUUGAAGAGUUCAUUGUGGAGACGAUUUGUAGAUUGGGAAAAAAAUUCUACCUUCAUUUUUCGAUUCAAUGGAGCAUUUGUUGAUUCACCUUCCAUACGAAGCUGAAGUUGGUGGACCUGUCCAAUAUCAAUGGAUGUACCCGUAUGAGAGGUAACUUAGUGUUUUUCUCGAAAAUCAUAGUGUUAUAUAUAUCGAUUUGAUAUAUAUUUCUUUUUUUCAGAUUUAUGUUUUUUUGAAAAAGAAAAUUCGCAAUAAGGCAUAUGUCGAAGGGUCUAUUGCGGAGUCUUACAUUGCUGAAGAACUAUGCACAUUUUGCUCAAUGUACUUUGACAAUACAUUCGUAUCGAGAUUUAGCAGAAAAUCGAGAAACUUUGACGGUGGAGUAAUUGAAUCUGCUGGUCGUUUGUCGAUAUUCGCUCAACAAGGUCGUGCCUUAGGAGGUGGUGACCGUAGAUAUUUAGAAGAUAGAGAAUACACUGCCAUAAUGAUAUAUGUGCUCCUCAAUUGCGAUGAAGUGGAACCGUUCGUCAGAAAAUUUGAAAAAGAAUUGUUGGAAACAUACCCAAACAUGUCUGACGAAGAAUUGCAACAGAAGACUGAUUCAGAAUUUUAUCAUUGGUUCAAAAAUCAAAUGAAUGAUGUUGAAGACUCGUCUACGUAUUCUUACAAGAGGUCCGAGUAAAGAAAUUGUUAGAUACAAAAAAUAUAUUGUAAAUGGAUUUAGAUUUCAUUCGAAAAGCAAAAAUGAAAAUAAGACAUCACAGAACUGUGGUGUAAUAGUUCGAGGAUUUUCUUCAUAUGAAGACGAUGAAAAUAACUAUUACGGGGUUCUUGAAGAAAUUGUAAAACUUGAUUUUCUUGGCGAUGACACUCAAAUUUGUAUAUUCAAAUAUGUAUGGUUUGAUAUUCACAAGGGUAUUAAAACUAAUAAAUUCAAGAUGGUGACGAUCAAUACACAUUCUAAACUCAGAGCAUACGAACCUUUUAUUUUCGCAUGACAAUCCGACCAAGUGUGUUACAUACCGAGUGUUUCUGAAAAAUCUAAUAAUUCGCAUACGGUCCUUAGAAUGAAAGCUCGAGAUACAAUUGAUAUUUCUGAAAAAGAUUUGGAUACAUAUCAAGACGAUUUCAGCGAAUACGAUGUGAACGCCAUCAACAAUGACAACCGAAUCGAUGAUAUCCCUCUGAGCAGUCAUGAAUUUACCGAAGAAUCGAACAAUAAUACCAAUGACAGUAACAAUGAUAAUGAGCAUAGUUGUAAUGAUAAUGAUAGUAUGGAUAAUAAUGAUUCAUCUCCUGACAAUGAAAUGGUUUUUUAAUUUAAUUGUAAGUCUAUUUUAUUAUACUUCUACUAUUUUCAUGUUAUCGUAUUUGAUUAAAAAUUUUACUUUUCAGAUAUGGUACGUAGAAGAAUCGGACGGGGACGGGGACGUACUUCUAGGGGACGAGGACAACCUGAUAAUGACGAGGUUGUUUCUAGGAUUUCAACAAGAACGUUCUCGAAGGGAAUUCCCCAACCCUCGAAACCAUUUCAAGGCCAGAUACUGGCUUGUGGGUAAGUAUUUUUAAAUUGAAUAUAUUUAUUUUUAAGAUAUUAAUAAACUUCAACCUAUAUAGAUCAUUCCCAAACAACAUCCGAAAACAAAUCAGAUGUAUAAUUAAACCAAAUAUUUCUGACGAUAAGAUUUCUUGGGCUCAAUGGAGUGAUGAGAACAAGACUCUAGUUUGGAAUAAAUUUCUGGUACUCUUUCAAUUUGGUAAACUUUUUUUUUUAUUUUUCUAAUUAGUUAGAAUUAUUAACAACUUAUUUUUCGCUUUUAGACAUUUUUCACUUUCGAAGAUAACGAAACGAUUAUGCUCGAAUCGCGUUCGAGAAAUAUUUGACAAUGAACUAUCCUAAAUGGAUGGAUAAAGCCCGGGAAGAGGCGAAGAAGCUAGCAGAUGUGGAUCACCUAGACGACAGUUGCAAGAACUUUCCUUCCGGAUACCUGUGAAAGAACCAAUGGGAAGAAAUGAUGACGAAGUUUUUGUCAAGCGAAUUUCAAGAAAAAUCAAAAAAGAAUUCUGAAAACCGCACAAGCAAUGAAAUAUACAUCCUCUAUAAAGAAGGAUCGGCAUCCGUUGAAACUAACACUCAGUCAUUGGUAAAACUAUUUAAUAUCUAAUUGGUUCACUUUUUAUUUCAAGUAAUUGAUCAUUUUUUCAUGAUAUAGAGUUUGAAACUCGGUCAGCUUCAUUUACAGAAUUUUUUAUGGCCAUUCAUUAUCCGAUCAACGAUAAAGGCAAGGCUCUAAUGGUACGUAUUUAAUUAUCAAUAUUUUAUCAUUUUUUUUCAUUACUAAUUCAUUUCUUUGUUGUUUAUAAUAGUCGGAUUACGAAAGAACAUUUCGAUUAACAACAAUCAAUAAAUGAAGACGAGGAGCAGGAGAAGUCAACAGACGAAGAAGAAAUGUCGACGCAAGGAUCGACAUCCUACAAGCGAAAAAAGCCUCUAUUCAUUGAUGACAGUUUGGAAGCUUGGAUUAGGGCUUCAGGAGGCAAGAUGAAAGGACGUAUUCUCGGAAUGAGACCAAGGGACGAUUCAUUGAUGCCGAAGAAAUCCAAGGCCAAAAUAAAAAUAAAUCGCCUAACAAAAGAAGAAAGAAAAAAGAAGAAAAAGGAAGAAUUCGACACUCGUGUUAAAAAAACCGUUAACGUAGUCGUCAACUAGAGACUUGAGACGGUUAACCAACAAAUGGAGCUCAUGCUAAAAGUACAAACAUACUUGUUAGGCAAAAUCGUUACUCUAGAAGUAAGUUAUUCAAUACUUACUAAAAAUUUUAGUAUAAACAUUAACUUAAUCAAUCAAAAUUAUUUUGUUGUUUUUUAGGAGGGAAACACAAGCACGGGCACGGGCCAAGCGAUCGUUCCAAGAAAAGAUCCUCCGAAUCCUCCUUUAGAUCUUGAUGUUAUAUUAAAAAAAAAAUAGUUGAAUUGUACUUUGAACAAUUUGUUUAAUUUGUAAGUUGGAACAAUUUGUAUAUUUGAAUGAAUUGUACGUAAAUUUAAAUAAAAUGUGAAUGAUCGUAUGGAUUAUGAAUUGCUUGUGAAUGAUCGUGUAAAUUAUAAAUUACUUGUGAAUGAUCGAUCGUAUGAAUUGUUUGUGAAUGAUCGUGUAAAUUAUAAAUUACUUGUGAAUGAUCGUGUAAAUUAUAAAUUACUUGUGAAUGAUCGUAUGAAUUGUUUGUGAAUGAAUGUCUAUUUUCAGGUACAAGAAUGGACAUGUGUAAGGCUCCUAGAGAGCACCCAUUAGUUUCGGCAAAAAUAUUCUGCUGAGCUUAUUAAUUAGCGACGGUCUAAAGACGGCAGGUUGAAAUAGGAAGUUCUAAACAAAAAACUAGAGAGGGCCUAGCGACGGCCUAGAGACGGCAAGUUGAAACAGGAAGUUCUAAACAAAAACUAGAGAGGGCCUAGCGACGGCCUAAAGACGACAAGUUUAAACAGGAAGUUAAAAAAAAAUUUAAAGACGGCCCAGGGAGGGCUAUUUUGAAAAUUAGAGAUGACCGAGGGACAACAACAAAAUUUUAGACGCCAAAAAAUUGGCGUGGAAAAAAGAGAGCGACGGAUUAGAGACGGCUUGGCCCUCAUCCUUUCUAAUUUUAAAUUUUAAUUAGCGACGGUUAAAACUGUCUCUAAUCCUUCCUUAAUAAUUAGAGACGGAUAUGAAGACCGUCUCUAAAAAAUCAGUGAGGCGACUUUCGGGGUAGGAUUAGAGACGGCCAAAAACCGUCGUCAAUCAUCAAUUAGCGACGGUUUUUGAUGAUUAGAGACGGUUUCUGGCCGUUGCUGAAAGUCAGUAAUCUGGUAGUGUAAGGUGAUUGAAUGAAGAUAACAUAGACUCCUACUAGCUAAAGAAGAUAACAUAGAUAUAAAAAUUACCUUGUAGAGAAAACGAUUUUUGUUGGUAUUGGAACGAGGUUUAGAACGAAGAAGAAUGUAGAAAAAUGAAGAAGAUGGAAGAAAUAGAAAAAGUAUGUCUAUAAAAAUGAAAUGAUUCACUAUAGUACAUACCUGCAAAGUUACAGUAGCACGUCAACUACAGUAGACGUAUGUCUACUGCAAAAGUUAAAGUCGUACGGUAUGUAAUACAUCUCUAAAAACAAAUAACUAUCAUGAUUACGUUAUAUUAUUAAUAAAUGUAAUUACCAGAAUCUCGUGAUCCCUACCAAGUGUCGUACGUAGGUAAGUAAUAAGUGCAUAACGUGAUUGUAAAUGUUGGUUGUUGAUUGGAUUAGCGCAUAUAUGGACGACGCACAUGAAUAUUUCUCUAAUUAUUUAAAUUAAAAUUUAACUAAUUGAAAUUUCAUUUAAAUAGAAAUGGAUUCGAAUAUCUAACAAUUGGGUCACCAGUGAAGAUCUUAGUUACCACUGUAUUUUUUUUAGAGCAAUCAAGAAGGGACACUCAAAGAACUCAAUUAUGCGCAUUCUAGCAAAUCGAAUGGGACAAGCUGCCAAAGAUCAUCUCAAAGAGCCAAACGGCGUUUUUGAAGGCCUUAGUGAAGGGCUCACCUACGAACAAGCCUCGCACAAGUCGUUCAGUUCUAUGAAGAGAAUCCUCUUUGAAUUUUGGAGUUUCUCUUAAAAAAGUUGUUGGUGUGUGAGCUCGCCGUCCAAUCUAGUGCAAGUGUUCCUCUCAGAAUUGUCAACCUCUUCUCCUGAUGGAUCAGGGGAGGUAUUUAUAGUAUCCCAUGAUUGAUCCUGGGCCAGCCGGCCCACCUGCGCCUUCGGGUCCAUUCGUGCGUCUGGGCCUCGAAGGCCGCUCGUUCGGUCCAUGGACCGCGGUCCGCGGUCCAUGGUACCAACAGUACUCCCCCCCUUCCUCGAUGGGCCCAGGCUUGGGGGCUGCCCGUCCGUGCCUGGCCUCCAACAUCCCCUCUUUACUAGUUUUAAAGACUUCUCGAGGUUCGAGCUGCUCCCCCUUUUCCCCUCCUAUAAAUAGAGCGCUUGCUACUUUGGUUUCUCAUUCUUUCCUUCUUUCGCAAUAAGCAUCCGGGAUAUUCUCGAAGAGUAUGGCCGCGAAGUGCAACUCCAUUACGCCACGUGGGCUAUGUGUCUGCUGUUGCCCGCUGGUGUCCCCAAUAGUGUGUCCGUGGCUGAGACUCAACGUCUCAACGUUGUGAUGAUCGACGUCCACCGCCAUCUCUCUCAGAUCCGCCGCUCCGAUCUCCUUGCUAGCCGGCCUGUUAUCGGCCCCCCUGAUGCCGCUCCUGUUGCUGCCUCGGGCUCCAUUAGGACCUCGCACGCCUUCCAUGCCGCUGCUGCUCCUGCCGAGGCUACCGACCGCCGUCGUCGAUCGCGCGGCCACCGUCGCUCUCGUGGGUCCUCGUCCCUUCCGGCUACUGACCUGCGUCAUUUCUUGUCGGGGUCCCCGAAGCCAGGCCGUUAGGCCCGCCCUGGAGCUAUCCGCGCUCACUCCCAUGCCCUCUCGGGUGGUGGGCUUGCCUUCACGGGGCGGCACCCAGGAUGCCCUGACGUCCUCUUUUUUUUCUCUUUACUUGCUGUAUUCGUACUUUGUUGUUGUAUUUUUUCUUCUUUUUUUCCCGCCGUACCACCGGCUAUUGUAACCCUUGCUUUGUUUUAGUACUAUGUUUUUUCUUCGCUUUUUCAUGUUUCGCGUUUUGAUUUCGCCCUUGCGCGUUGGUGCAGUUUUACGCUAUUCGGCGUCCUCUGAUGACGUUGCCCGAGCCCUUCUUGAGCUUCACCCCCAUUACCAGGGGCAAACCCCUCCUUCGCUGGCGCUCCUCUUUCGUUCCUCCUUCCCUCUCGUCGUGGGGGGCCCCGCUCGUUACGUUGUUUCAUUCGGCCCGCCGACCGAGCCCGUAGGGGACCCUGUCUAGACGCCCCCGCCCCGUCCUGUCUGCUAUGUUCGGUCGUUGGGCACGCAAAGCUCUUUUCCCGACGCCCCUCUGAGGCAUUGCCGUCCGCGCCGGGCGCUGACCUUCACUCUACUUCCCGAUGGUCUGGGUCGUGGGCUCCCUCGGAAGCUUCCCGGCCCGCCCCGUUCCAUCACCUCCAGGUAAAUGCGACGCCUCGUCUUCUGCGCCCCCCAAUCCCUAUAUAAACCCCUUCACUUCCCCUCGCACUUGUGUUUCUGUUUCAUUUCCACUUCCCCUCUCGCGCUCGCCUUUCUCACUUGCGAUCUUUUUUUUUCCUCCAGAUUACUCAUGGAUGCUCCUCUUCUCCCCGUUGCUGGUUCCGCCUUAGCGGAAAGCCUCUUUGCCACUCCGGAUGGCAAGAAUCCACUGUCCCUCGCCAGUGCUGACGGGAUCCGAGAAGCUCUGGCGAAGAUGGGUCGGCCUGACCUGGACUUCACUGAGGCCGGGAAUCGCCUCGCCUCUCAGCCGCCGGAGGGCAUGGUCGCCCUUUACACCAAUUACGCUGAAGCCGGUCUGACUCUCCCGCUCCCUCCUCUCGUAGCCGAAGUCGUGCGGUUCUGUGACAUCUCCCUCUCCCAGUUCCUCCCGGCCGCCAUCGAUCGUUUGACGACGUUCUCGUUUCUCUGCCGGCGUCGAGGCCUCCCGACCGUUGCUGGUUCCUUAUCUGGUUUUCAAUGACGUCGAUGUUGUCGGACACUCGUCGCCUGCUGGUCGCGCAGAGGUCGGGCAAAGCACUUUUUGAUCAGCUGGUCGACCGAUCUCAUCACUGGCGCGAUCGGUUUUUCUUUAUCUCCUGGAUGCUCUCGGCCCGUUCGACCUGGAGAGCCCGCCGCCCUCUCGUUGGGCGCUUUUGACGCAGCUGAAGAGCCGAACCGCUGCCCCUAGUCGCUCGCAACUGCAGCCUUAGGCGCUGAACGCGCAGGACGUUCUGGUCAAUAUCUAUCGCUGCGGGGCCGUCAAUGCUCGGACGUUGGCCCAGUCUUGGAGCUACGAGGAGCACAUGACUCUGCCCAUCAAGGUGGACUACACCCGGGACGGUCCGCCCAAACGCUCGCACAAGAAGCGGCCGCACGACGCUAUCCAGUUCGACCUGCCUUCGCCCCCACCCCGACGCCCCGAGGACGAGCCCGAGGUUGAGGUCGACUCUGCUCUUGAAGACACCCGGGCCGAGAAGAAGCGAAGGAGAAAACGUCGGGCUGAGAAAAGGAUAAUUGAGGAUUGAUGGGGGUGAAACCCGACCAGUACUCCAAGACGCGCGCGCAAGCGCCAAGCGGGGAACUCCGCGGGAAACCGGGCCGGAACUCAAGUGCGCAGAAGUCAAUCCCAGGGAAGUCGAUCCUCAGGAAAGUCGAUCUUCCUAGGAUUCGACUUGGGACCUCCCCAACCCUAGAAUAGGUACCUUAACUCAUCUUAGGCUAUCCGGACUUCUAGUUGCUGGAAGGUUGUGACCAGGUUCGGGAUACUGUAUCACCAGUACUCCCCCUCCUCUGCGUAUUAGAUACUUUGGGAUACGUCUUUUAGUACUAUGGUCUGUGUGUUGGACCUUGUACUAUCAAGGAUGCUGCCGAGGAGAAAGUUGAGGUCGAAAUCUUGUCUUCCCCGCUCCCGGUUUCUUCCGACUGCCUGUCUCCCGACCUCGUGGCUUCUCUUCGGAAAAAUGGGAUGGAUCCCGACCUUUUCCGCACGUUUGUGAAGAGCUGCGACCAUUCGGCCGAGUUUGCCGCCGCCGUCGACCCUGAGUCCUCCCUGCCCCACCUUGGCGGGAUUUUUAAGAAAAAACUCUCUUCCAUCGACUCCUGGCUGCGGACGAAAGACGAGUACGUGCGGUUGCUUGAUCACGCCCCCUCGGAUAUUGACCCCGACCUGAACCACUAGAUGCUUCAGCAUUCGGUUCAUACCAAGGUUCGCUUGCAGCAGGCCCUCUGCCAAGACGAAGAGGUCCAACGUAUGCCCGUCGAGCUUGCUGAAGCGAAAGGACAGUUGGACGUCGUCGUGCGGGAGCGGGACGUCGUCGUGCGGGAGCGGGACGUCGCCGUACGUGGUCUCUAAAACGACUGAGGAGGAGAAGAACCGUGCCGUCGUAGCCCGAGCUGCUCUUGACGCCGCCGUGACCGCUGCCUAGGACAAAUUCGUGGGGUCUUUCAUGCCUACCUUCGAGGCCCGUCUGGGGCAGUUGAAGCUGGACCACGCCGAUAUGCUGAAGGACUCGAAACGCGCUGGCUUCUGGAAAGGCUACCUGCACGGGCGUAAGAUGUGCGAGCUCGUUCACCCCCCCCCCCUCGCCGGCCUUGUCGUGCCCCGGAGCAUUCGCGAUUGGGAGAAUUGGGAGGAAACGGGCGUCCCCCACUACCAGCCCCCUCUGGACGUGAGCGACAGCGAGGAGAAAGAUCUUGAGGCCGACUUCCCCGAGUAUACGAAACCUGCUUUGGAUUAAUGUGUUGUUUCGUUCGGUCCUGUCCUGUUUUGUUUUUUUUUGAACUUACCGUGACACUUAGUAUUUCUUCAUUAAUUUUGGAUGCUUUCUUACUCUUCCUCUUUUCCUUCGCCAUAUUCUCCUUUUACUGUCUUCACUUGUUGCGUGCGUCCCUUCGAGAGGGCGGCCUGGGCUGUCCGAGUGCCCCCGCGCGGUCUUCCGACCACGGGGAACCUCGGCUGGUCUUUUCGGCGGGCCCCCUUUGUUUUCGUUCCCUCGUUCCCAACUCGUCCAUGUCGCGGGGGAUCGGGCGUCGCCCCCCCACGGUCCAAUGUAUCGCUUUCGCGUUUUUACUUAUUGCGCGCUUUCCCUUCGAGGGGACGGCCUGGGCCGUUCAAACGUUCCCGCGCGGUCGUUCGACCUUGGGAACCUUCUGUUGGCCUUUUCGGCGGGCUCCCCCCUUUUUUGUGUGCUCUUAGUCUGGGGGUCGACUGUCUUCCGAUUAAUGGGGGCACUCCAGGUGCAUUUCAUUAGGCAUCGCGUGCCGUGGUCGGGUGGCCCGACAUUACAUAUGAAGGAAAGAAAACACCGACACCGAAAUAAAGGUAGGAUCUGCGUGGUGCCCUGACCCUCACCGCCUAUACUUUUCGAGGUUGUCGGCGUGCCAAGUCCUUUCUAUUUCUUGCCCGUCCUCGUACCUUAGGCGGAAGAUACCCGGAUGAAUCUCGUCCAUGAUGACAUACGGGCCUUCCCAUCUAGCCGACAGCUGCCCCUUCGUCUAGUCCACCUCCGUUACCUUGGCGUUUCUCAGUACGAGGUCGCCCGGUGACAAGUUCUUCUCGGCCACUCUUUCGUUGUGGUACUUCGCCACCCUUCGCUUAUAAGUGAGGUCCCCGAUGGACGUCUCCUCUCUCCGAUGUUCCAGAUGCUCCUUUUCUAGGAACAGCGCUUGGUCGUUCGCUCCUGACUGGAACUGUUCGAUUCAAGCGGUCGGCCAUACCAGCUCUGCCAGCGCUACCACCUCGAUUCCGAAUGCGAGGGCGAAAGGUGUCUGGCCCGUGGGGGUUUGGAUUGUCGUGCGGUACGCCCACAUAGUCUCGAGGAUCAUGUCCGCCUAGUUUCCCGGGUGUUCGCCCACUUUCCUUUUCAAGAUCGACACUAUCGUCCGGUUUGUAACCUCCACUUGCCUGUUCACCUGCGGGUGGUACACUGGUGCGAAGCUCAACUUAAUCCCGCUGUCUUCGCAUAAUUCUCUUAGCUUCUUCCCCAUGAACUGCGUCCCGUUGUCCGUUAUUAUUUGGAUCGGGACCCCGAACCGGCAGAUGAUGCUUCUAAAGAUGAAGUUCACUACAUUCUGCUCGGUGAUCGUGUUUGUGGUUUCCGUCUCGGCCCACUUUGUGAAGUAGCCGACUGCUACGAACAAAAACUUCCUUCCCCUCGACGCCGGCGGGAAAGGCCCGACUAUGUUGAUCCUCCACCUUGUGAACGGGACGGACGUCGUUACCGCCUUCAUCAUGGUGGACGGCCGCCUCUGGACGUUCGAGUGCCGCUGGCAUUCGUCGCACCGGUCGACGAUUUCUUCUGAAUCUUUCAUUGACUCGGGUCAGUAGUAGCCUUGCCUGGCUACUUGCUUCUCCAACGCCCUUCCACCUUGGUGCGCCCCGCUUGCCCCCUCGUGGAUACUUCUUGCGAUAGCUUUGCCGUCCUCUCGCGACACGCACAGCCGUAGGGGGGCCUCUUCCGCGGCGGAUCGCCGGUACAACCUGUUUUGGUCCACCACAAACCAAGCGGCUCUGUUCCUCAGUUUCCUAGCCUCCAUCGGAUUUGCUGGCUUUUCGCCUGCCUCGAUGAAUCUGCUAAUCGACGUUCACCAGUCCGUCACCUUUCCGUUCAGCUUUUGGACCUCCUUUAUCGUUCCCGGUGGGGUCAUGGCCAUGAAGGCUUCAACCUUUUCUUCUCUAUGCUUGAUCCCCUCGGGCGUGAUCCGGAACCCCAGGAAAUGCCCCUCCUUGACCCCGAACGCGCACUUCUCCGCCUUCAAUUUUAGCCCUGCUUUUCUGACGUUAGCGAGAGUUUCCUCCAGGUCGGCUAGGUGCGUCUUGGUGUCCUUCGAUCGGACGAGUAUAUCGUCCACGUACACCUCCGCGUUCCUGCCUAUCUGCGCCCCGAACACCUUGUCCAUUAGCCUCUGGAAGGUAGCCCCAACGUUUCUCAGGCCGAACGGCAUCACUUUGAAGCAGAACGUGCCCAUCUCUGUGAUGAACGAAGUCUUUUCCUCGUCUUCCCUUGCCAUGGGCACUUGGUUGUACCCUGAGUGCGCGUCUAUGAAACUCAGCAGUUCGCACCCGAAGCUCUGGUCCACCAGCCGGUCUACCGACGGUAGCGGGUAGCUAUCCUUGGGGCAUGCUUUGUUGAGGUUUGUGAAGUCGACGCACAUCCUCCACCCCGCUUCCGCCUUUCUAACAAUGACCACAUUGGACAGCCACGCGGUGUAACGCACCGGGCGGAUGAAACCCGCUCGAAAGAGUUUCUUGACUUCCGUUUCUGCCGCAUCCCUUUUUUCUGCCUUUAGCGGAUGCAGCUUCUGCCUGACGAGGCAGGCGCCCAGGGCCACCGCGAGCUUGUGCUCUGUCAGCGCCCGAGACACCCCGCUUAGCUACCCCAGCUCAUUUGCGAACAAGUCCUCAUUUUCUCUGAGGAGCUGCUCCAGCCCGCCCUUUAAGUCCUGCGGGAGGUCCUUUCCUAUGCGCACCUCGUUCCGGGCGAGACUGACUAGGGUCGUAUGGGACGCUGGCUCCGGCUUUGGGACCUCCUCCCUUGCGGAGUGUGGUAGGCCCUCGUCCGAUGUCAUCACCUCUCCAACCGAGUUGAAGUAGCACUCGCGUGCCUUCCUCUGGGAUCCUCUGACCGUGCAUACCCCCCCUUCGGUUGGGAAUUUGAGGCACUGGUGGAGCGACGAUAUCACCGCCUGGAACGCGUGUAGCGCCGCUCUCCCUAGGAUGGCAUUGUAUCCGAACGUGAAGUUUACCACGGUGACCGUGACUUCGACUGUCUUCGCUUGGGCAUGCCGGCCCAGAGUGGCCGGGAUGGAUAUCGUCCCUGCAACCGGGACUUUCGCCUGUCUGAAGCCUCUAAUGGGGGCCCGGCUCGGGAGUAGAUUCGCGCGGGCCAAGCCGAGGUCAACGAAAGCAUUCCAGUACAGCACGUCUAUCGACGCCCCUGUGGAGGCGUACGUUGGCUUUAUCCCCCUUCGGAAGAUGGGGGUUAUAACUAACGGAUCGUCGUGGGGCGUAGUGACGUUCUUCAUGUCUUCUUCUGUAACGAGAUUUCCAUCUUCGUUCGCGGGCGCUUUGUCCCCGCCGUCCGGUACACAUCUGAAGCGUAUCGGCGCCCUUCCCACGGGUCGUCCCCCCGGGAGGCGCCCCCUCCUGCGAUGGUGAGGAUAUCCCCUACCGCUUCGUCCACUGGCUUUUGCUUCGGUUGCGGGCUUCAUUUUCUCCAGCACCUUCGCCAGGUUCAGGCAUUCGGCAGUCGUAUGGUCGUUGUCCUCGUGGUAUUCGCAGAACCGGCAUGUGUCCCUGAACGUUGUUGUGUCCUUCCUCAUCGGCCUUGGCGGGGGCAGGGCUCCCGUUCCGCUCAGUGUGAGGAAAACUUGCCUUUGGUUUGCCGCCGGGGUUGGUCAUGCUUCCCUUCGCCCCCCUCCUGCGGAGGCGCCUGUCUUGUACGUUGCCGCCUGCGGGGCGAUCGGGGGCUUGGUCUGCAGCUGCUGAUGUUGGUGUUGCUGCUGCCCCCCUGCGCCCGUAGGGGCGCCCUUCCCCCUCUGUUGCCGCUUGUACUCCUGGAUCUUUGCCCCCAGGUAGUCCUCCAUGUUGCACUCUCCGUGGGACCUUUCCAUGGCUUCUGCGAAAGUGCUUGGUGGCUUUCGUGCCAGGUCCCCUGCGAAGAAAGUGGGCCGAAGGCUGUCCGUGAGGGCGUACAGAACCACCUCUUCUGAAAUCCCCUCGAUCUUCUGCACCUCGCCCGCGAAUCGAUCCAUGUACGCGCGAGUGCUCUCGAAUUCUCCUUGUGUGAUGGCGCUGAGGGUGGCUUUGAUUUUGGGCCUCCUUCGUCGGUGUGAGAAGGCCGCUCGGAACACCGUUACUAGCCCUUCGUAGGUAUGCACGGACCCUGCGGGCAACGUCCUGUACCAUGCUAUCGCGUCGCCCGUGAGGGCUCUGCGGAACAUCCGGCACCAGAUAUCCUUUCUGCUCGUCCUGUCCUCCAUGUUGGUCUUGAACGAGUGAAGGUGGUCUCCCUUGUAAUAUGGGAUCUUCGGGGCCCUCCAUCCCGGGGGAUACUUCUCAUCCAGCAGGUGCUGCGCUAGGGCCUCUCCCCUGCUCCGCCUACCGCUAGGGUCGUACUGCCUCCGGGACCUCCCGUGGGGGGAGCGUCGCUCCCGAGUCCCCCGACCAGGGUGGGCGGCCCAUACAUCGGGUCACCGCCUCCGCACCCGUCUGACUCCAGGGUGUGGGGGGGCACCAUGAGCUGGUGCACCUGCUCCUACAGCUGGCGCUGACUCUCCUGUAGAGUGGAUAUCAGUUCCACGAGUUGCACCCUCUCUCGUUUGCUCUCCCUUUCCGCGCGCUCUUUCUCCUCUGCACGCUCCCUUCGACGGAGCCUCUCGUGCUCCUUCUCCUUCGCCCUGCUCUCCCUUCUCUCCCGGGACCGCGACCGACUCGACCUCCUCUCCAUGGACGGGGGCGUGAGCCCGCUUCGUCUGCUCCUUCUGGGAGACUCCCACCCGUACCUUACUUCCUCCAGUUCCAUGCGUAACCUUUCCUCCUGGGCGUCCCACUUCUCGUUGGCUCUUAUCUCCUCCGAGUAUCGGUCCCGCGAGUGGUGUGGCGCCGACCGGUACUCCAACGCCCCUUGCUCGCGUCACCUCGGGCUUUCUCCUACGUGGUAUUCGCUUCUCCCCGUCGUCCUCCUCUUCCUCUCCGGCUGCUGUGUUCGAUUCACGUCAGGUUCACCACUAUUGGUGUGUGAGCUCACUGGAGUAAGUUCGCCGUCCAACCUAGUGCAAGUGUUCCUCUCAUAAUUGUCAACCUCUUCCCCUGAUGGAUCAGGAGAGGUAUUUAUAGUAUCCCAUGAUUGAUCCUGGGCCUCAUGGGCCAGCCGACCCACCUGCGCCUUCGGGCCCAUUCGUGCGUCUGGUACCAACAAAAGUAAUUAGCAAGUACUGUCUGUAACUAGAAAAUUCUAAUUUCUAAUUACUGGAUAUGAACUUAUUUGUGAAUAUGAAAAUAAUAAAUACUUGCAGGCAAUUAGACCUUAAGAGAAUGAGUCAAAUAUAAAGAUCUUCAAGGGUUAAGGCGCAAUCUUUUCAAAUUAAAUAAGUGUAGCUGGGCAAAUUAAUAAACCUUUGUUUUUAGUUGACGAAAUCGUAAUAUUUAGUUUAAAUACAAAGUGUAAUUACAACGAAAUUAAUACAAUCUUUUACACUAAUAACGGUUCAAUUCAACGACUGGUCUGUUUCCAUUUAGAAUUGAAACCUAAUUCCGACGAAUGAGCGAUUCCGGCGAGCGACCUCUGUCAUCUCUGUUCCGGCUACUCCAUCAGCGCGCGCACCCUUGGCAUUAAAAUUUUAGGUAAAAAAAAAUCACCUUUCCCCACAGAUUGAGUUUGGUUGCUUUCUUUCACAUCAGUCAACUCGUGAUCAAGAUGAGUGAUUAACUAAAUCAUAUGCAUAACACCUUAUCAUAUUUUAUACCACGGUGCACAAUGAUUUUAUAAUCAUAACACCAAAGUUAAAAGCUUAAAACGUAGAUAUUCUUAUUAUCUCAGAAUGGAAUGGUCAUUAAGUGACAAAAACUCACCCUGGAUGGCAAUCACUGAACUUCGACUUCAGCUGACCGGAAGAUACAUCCAAGGACAAUACAUCACCACCACCUGUACCCAAUACCAACAGUAAAUAUCCUGACUUUCUUUUAUUCUGUACAAUGAAAAACACAACCCAUCAAGAUUUGACUAUUAAAAUCAGCACAUGAUAUUGAUUUAGGGUUCAUUUGAAUAAUAAAAUUAAAAAAAUCCUACUUCAGGGCCAACGACCAGGGCACGAAACCGGAUGACCCACCCUGAUCACCCUACAAUCCUGUAUGCCUGUAUGUAUAUAUAUAAAAAUUUGAAAUUUAAAGAUAAAAUUAACAACAAUUAUAAAAUUAAACAUAUUACAACAAUUAUAAAAUAACAUUUAUAGUUUAUCAUAAAAAUUUAUCUCGAAUGAAAAUGACCUAUACAACAAGAUUUGAAUCAUAAACUUUAAGAAACAUUAAUAAUUAUUAGUCAAUGUGAACAGUUGAGUUAAUCUCUCAUUGUAGCAAAUAACUUCUAAUUUCAAGGUUGCCAAAAAUUUAGAUAGGUAAAAGUUGAAAAUUAUAUUCUCAAACAAGAUGGAUGAAAAAAAGUUCUCGUAUUUUAUGGAACUUCUCAAAUAACUGACUACUAGUAUAACAAAACAAUCCAAUUUCUUAGACAAAAAUGAUACAUUAUGGAGACUAAAAUCCAAGUUUUCUAUUCGUCGUCGCCGCUGCUUUUAGAUAGUUCUUCCUCCUCGUUAUAGAGUACUGCGUAGACAUCUUCAUCGUUGUCACUUUCAUUCAACGGUUCACUGGGCAAAAUAUUGUCUGCGUCCUUGUCACCACCCGCUUUAGC
rnacentral:lncRNA from 1 species